AGCAUCAAAGAAUAGCAGAGUACCUAAAUAUGGACAAAAUAGCUUUGACCUUAUAAAAUCUUCUCCACUGGAGCAAAUGGACAACCGAGGUAGGUUGGGAGGCUCAUUAAAGGUAGAGAGCUCAUCAUAUCCUCGCAGGACCUGAAGAAAUUUCUUUUCUUUAGCCUCGCCCUUACAGAACUCAAAAAUCAAAUCGUGAAUGUAACAAGUUUUGACUCCACCAAUGGAUCUGCUUUUACUUACCAUAACUAAGUUUCGACCAAUUAGGUCCAUCAGAUAUUCUUCUGCAAUGACCUCCGAUCUUUUUCCUUCAAUUUUUUCCACAAACCCUUCUGCAAUCCAUAGACGCAUCAAAUUCUUGGCACCAAUUUUUUCAUCUUCUCGAAAUGCAGCAAAAUACAGCAAGCAUGCCUUCAAGUGAUACGGUAAAUGCUCAUAACUGAGCUCCAAUGACUUCUUGCACUGGUCUGUACCAGACACCAUGGUUGAAGUUAAACUUUCAGCAAAUUCUUCCCAAACCAAACUAUCAUGCCCUAUAGUUGCCAGAACUCCAGCAACAACAACAACUACUAGUGGCAAUCCCCUGCACUUCUUGGCAAUCUUCGUAGCAAUUCCACACAAUGCUUGAGGACAAUCUUCUUUUCUAAAUACCUUCUUCAGCAGUAAUUCAAAACUUUCUUUCUCACUGAGUGGACGAAGAUUGUGAGGUUUCCCGCCAUAUUCAACCUGUGAAGCCACAUAAGAAGAUCGACUCGUGAAGAUGAUUCUACUUCCUUUCUUUUCAUCGGGGAAUGAAAUUCUCAGCUCAUUCCAUACCUUAAUGUCCCAGACAUCAUCAAAAACAACAAGAUACCUCUUCGUCUUCAGCCUUUGAUAGAGCUUGUGAAGCAAUUCAUGUUCAUUCAAGUUUUUAAGCUCUUUGUCCAUCCUUGACCGUUUUCCAUCAGAACACAAAAUUUGUAUUAACAAGCUUUUCAUGUUAAAUUCUUGAGAAACAGUGCACCAAAGACGAAUGUGGAAGUUACAGAUUACUGAACUGUCAUUGUAAACUUUUUUGGCUAAAGUUGUCUUACCAAGCCCAGCCAUUCCCACAAUAGGAACAAUUUCCACCUGUUCUGGUCCCCAUAUAAGUCGUUCAAUUACUUUUGCUGCCUCGUCAUCGAGACCAACCAUGACUUCGUGGGCUAUUGGCAUUUUACCUUUUGAUAGAAUGUGGCUGGAAGUCUUGCUAACUUCUGGUGCUCUUAAGCUGUGAAAGGAAGGAAGACUUUCAAUAAUGCUUGAGCCACUGAUCUGAUCCUUAAAAUGCUUGAUAUGGAUGUUGGUAUUAGCCAGCAUAUCAUAACAGUCAAGGGCCUCUGUUCUUUCUGAGAAGCUAACUUCUCCUUCCUUCACUCUGUUUAGAGAAGGCAAGCAAAUUAUAAUGCCUGCCUCACAAAGAAGAGCACCAAUUUUUUCGUUUUGUUCAUCCAUCUUCUCCUGCUGCUCCCUUAAAAUGCUUCUCAAGAACCUCAGUCCUGCAUAGAGUAUUCGCAUUUCAUCUUUCAAAGAAUCCAUAAAGCUAGAGCUGCAGCAUAACAGCUGCCAGAGACAACUUAUGAGAGAAUCAUUGAAGUUUUUCAAUAUCUGCUUAUCCAUCAUUCUAUUAUGCAAUGAUUUUGAGGAUCUUGUAGCUCUAAGAACUUCCAUAUAAAUCUCAUAGACUUGAAAAUCAAUAGGUGUGAUUUUCUGUUGUUGCUCAUAUAUCAUGGAGCAGAACUCAGGAUUGUGCCGCUCCUUACCAUCCCAAACAGAGCACAUGUAAAAGAGGUGUGCUGCGUUCAAAGUCACCACUUCAAAGUGAGCCAAUAGCAAGGCAGGAAUAUCUGCAGUUCCUCGCAAUUUGGCAAAGGGAAUGAAGUUUUUCAAGAAUGUUAGCUUUGCUUCAAGGGCUUGGAAUUGAGCACUAACUUGGGGAUCCAUAUCAUCAAUAAUACCCAAAUAGACAGUUGUUAAAUCCGCUAGAUUUUCUAGAAUGAGGUCUAUAAAUUCGAUUAGUUCAUCAACUGGCAUGCAAGAAUUUGAUUCCAAUGAUCUGCUGCUUGGCAAAGUAAAGUAAACUUGGAUGAUUUCUUGCUUAAAUGAUUUGAUCUGUUUCAAAAACUCAGAAAACACUUCAUAGGGAACACGACCUAGGCCACUGCCAUCAAAUGCUGAUAUAUCAUGGCAAAACGAGUACUGAAAGUCCUCCUCAUAUUUGUGAACGUUAUCUUCAAUGCAAGAUAAGAAAGAUGGAAGACUCACCUUCUUCACAACAUUCUCAGAUUCCAAGUACAAAUCAUUGCUGUGGCUCCACUUUCUUGCACACAUAACAAAUGUUUUGUGAAAUCUUAUAUCCAGGAACGCAGCUCCAAAAUUGCAUUCUUCAAACGCAUUGUACCCGAAACGGAGCAUGGAUUUUUCCUCAGUUUCACUCUCAAAUUUUAAGGGAGAAACAGAUCUCGCCGACUGCAGAGCAAGCAAGUAUUUCUUUCCUGAAAUUUCUUUUUUCCCGUGGGAAGGUGAAGAAGAGAAAUGAGAUAAUAAAUUAUUCAACAGACAAACGGAGCAAGAUCAGGAAAGAACAGAUGAAUCAAAGUUAACGAGAGAGCGGUCAAAUAAUCUGGAAAUGAUCUUGGUCUGAAUAAAGUUAAGAAAUUUUAUUGACUACUACUGCAUAAUUUUUUGGAGUUUUUUUUUUUUAAUACCCGUUUCGUUGUUGAGAAGGACCGGUCUGGCAUUGCACCCCACACUGGCUUUUCGUUCUGAAAGAAAUUUUUUUUUUAUUGGUUUUUGGACUAUUAAUGUGGCAUUGCACCCCACAUUUAGACUAUUUAUGCCGUCAAUUAUGACGGCUAAUCCUUAGACUGUUUAAGAAGCAUUUUUGCUAACUAAACCCACACUAGUUGCUCAUCCCUUCCAUCACACCCCAAUACACACACACACACACACAUAUAUAUAUAUAUAUGUAUGUAUGUACAUAGGUAGUGUCAAAAUGACACACAUUGUCCUCCGUGGUGGAAUUAGCUAAUCUUUGUGGUUACUAAAUAUUUUAUCUGGACAUUAAGGUAUUCUUGACAUUUCGUUUGGCUUCAUUGUCGUGGGCUGUUUUUGUUAUUUUGAUAUUUCAGUCCAAAAUAUGGAAAAACUUAUUUAUAAUAUUUAAAAUUAUAGAAGAUUUACAUGAAAAGUGCUGAAGCUAAAUAAAUUUAACCAAGAUUUGUGCCUUUCAUUAGGUAAGACUUUCUUACAUGUUGGCCUGGUUACCAUAGUCCAAGAGAGAAAAAGAAAAGAAAGGGGCCAAAAAGGAAAAAGGAACUUUAACUUUCAAUUGAUAGUUUCUUUCAAAAUUCAAGUAGUGUUGCUUAAUAAGUUUUACAUCCUAUGAUUGCAAACAACAUAAUUUUACAAAAUAACAAUUUUUUUUUAUCUGUAAUUGCUAAGAAAAUUGUAAAAUGACUUUAUUAGAUAAUUUUAUCGGCUCAAUGGAUUCUCUAAGUUGAAUGAAAAUAAUUACAUCUUAACAAAGUCCGCAAACCUUGAUAUAUGAACAAGCAAAACUAUAAAAUACAAGUCAAUUAACCGCAAAAAUCCUUAGUAAACUCCAUUUUUUCACCCUCCCCCCUUGUUAAGAUUGCUUGACAAGCAAUCAAUUUCACUUUACACCCUUUUGAAUGAUUUCCACUUUGCAUCUCAAAUUUUUAUUUCUGGAUAGUUUGCACUUUAAAAUUACUAAUUACCAUGAAAUUGCACCUUAAAAUUUAUUUUGGAUAUUUUGCACCUAAAGUUAAUAAUCCAUCCAAAAUUACUGUGGUUUCACACAAUAUUAAUGUCAUUGUAGGAGCAAUAUGCACCUAUACACUGGCUUCUUAACUGUAAAAGUGGGAUUGGUUCAUCAGAAUGUCCCUCAAAAAAAAAAAUUAAUAAAAGAGUGAAUACAUAUGCGUGUUAGAGCACUUUCACUUGCAAGAAGUUUGAUGACUUUAGGAUUUGAGACAGUUUAAUGAUCUGGAAUUAGCACCCACCAAGAAUGGUCUGGACUGAUCAGCCUCCUUCCUAUUAUAUUCAUCAGCAAACAAACGAAUAAAUUAUAGUGUAACCCCAUACAAUUUAGUGCAUUUUCGUAUAAUCAUAGUGUGGUAAAAUGUAUAUGACUCCACGAUUUGAAGCACAUUGUCAAAAUGACGGAUAUCGUCCUCUGCGUUGGAAUUAGUUAAAAUGUCAAAAUUAUUUAUAUUAAAACCCUAAAAUGAUUUUAUUAACUAACGUUGAAACUCUAAGAUUUAGAAGUCUUGGAAUCUAAUUCUCCUUCCUCCUCUCCGCUUUUGAAAAAGAAAUCCUAUUUCUUCCUUGUUAAAAAAAUGUUAAUAUAUAUAUAUAUAUAUAUAUAAGAUAAAUUACACUUUUGUACCUUGAAAAGUUAUUCAUAACCAUCAGGCCACUUUACCAUCCUCUGCGUUAGAUCUCCAUCAAUUCUAAUAUUAAUUUCCUUGACUAACUUUAUGUCACAUGAAUUUAAUCAAAAGUCGAUCUACUAAAGGGCCAGAUAGAAGGAUGUUGGCAGCAUCAGAAGUCUUCAACUGAUCCAACAGGCCUAUUUCUGCUGGAAUUUGACCUGUUAAUUGGUUGUUGUUAAGUAGUAGGGUAUUUAGAAAUGUACAAUUUAAAAGUUUACAGGAAUCUCACCUUUUAUAGAAACAGAUCUCACCGACUGCAGAGCAAGCAAGUAUUUAGUAUUUCUUUUGGAGUUUUUGACAAGUGAUAGGUUGCAAUUUAUCUAUUUAUUUUAUUAUUAAUUUCCUCUGUUACCUGACCCGAUGUGGAUUAAUUAUUAGAUUCUACUCAUUUUUCGUAAUUUGCAUUUAUUUCAGGGAGUAGAACGAAAAUAUAACAACGGGUGCCAAUUUGACAGAAAAGAAAUCCAGAUGAUAGAGCUUGUCCCAGGGGCAUUUUUGGAAAAGAAGAUGUCACGCCCACUUUGAUAAUUUCCGCAAAGAAAUGACGGAUGAAGGGCUUCUUCCUCCUGGUUAGGGAUGGCAACGGGGCGGGGUUGGGGCGGGGGACGAGAGACCUAUUAGUUCCCCCCGUCCCCCGCCUCCCACUCCCCCUGCCCCGCCCCGCCCCCGCCCCGCCUUGCCCCGCUUCCCCCGCGGGGGCACCCGCGUUAAUAAAAUUUUAUUAUAUAAUUUUAUUAUAAUUAAAUUUUAAUAAAUAAUCAAGUACUAAAAUAUCAACACAUCACCAAAUUAUUAUUCAUUGUAAUUUUACAAUUGAAACUCAUAAAAACAAUCAAACAGAAGUUAUUUGAAUACAAUCCAAUAUGAUGAAAUAAAUAUAACUAAAAUAGUCAAAUUUUCACUUUUAGUACAAAUGCAAUCACUAAUUCAUUAUUGUGUUUGUGCUUUUUUUUGAGAAAAAAGUGUUAUUCUAUAAAGUGUAAUUAGAAAUUUAGUAUAAAUGUAUUAGUAAAUUUAGUAUAACUAAUUAAUAAAUUCUAUUAGUAGACAUGUAUAAUUAUUCAUAUAAUUGAUAAUAUCAAUUAUAUUACAUAAAUUAAUAUACAUUAUAUAAUACAUCUAACUAAUAAUAUAAUUAUCAUAAGUUUAUAACUAAUUAACUUACAUAUAAUAUAUAGUCAUUUAUAUAUAUAUAUAUAUAUAUAUUUUUUUUUUUGCGGGUGGCGGGGCGGGGGAUGGGGCGGGGGAGUAUACCCCCGCCUCCCGCCCCGUUUCUAAGCGGGGGGAAAAAUUUCCCCCCGCCCCCGCCCCACCCCCCGCCCCAACCCCCGCCCCGUGAGCCCCCCGCGGGCACCCGCCCCCAUUGCCAUCUCUACUCCUGGUGAGCCGCCGCAAUAAAGGAGGAAAAACAGGAUCAGAUGGAGGCGAGCUUAGUUUUAGUUUUCCGUCUGUAGCUUAGCUUGAGAUUGUUGACUUUUCCCUAAAAAUGUUUUUUGCUUGUCAUACGCAUGGCAGGCAUUAGAAAUUGGUAGCUUUUGACUUUUCUUCAUGUUAAAUGCUUAGAGUUUUUCUAUCUUUCCUGGUAUGCCGUCCGUAGUGAGGCAAAGGAUCAUUUCGUGUAACUUUGCUAUCUCCUCCUGGUUGGAGCGGAUUGAGUUCUAAAAAAUCAAUGACAAUGGCCGCAGAUUUAUCUUCAAUUUCCCGUGGACUUAGUUCAUCAAAUAUGAACUAAUUUCCUUCCUACUAGUCAAGGAGCAACGAAGGCUUUGGUUCGCUUAAAAAUUAUGAGAUAGAUUUAAUUCAAUCUUUUCAUUUUAUUUAUUGGUAUCCGCAUAUUUCUUGAUUUCUAUGCUCAUGGUUAUUUAAUUAAUUGAUUGUUUUGGAUCCGGAUAACUAAUUGAUUUGGUAACCUAUCGUCAAUUAGGGCAUUAAAUCCGUAAUUGUUUAAUUGUCCUGAAAUAGUGAUAACUGGCACGAUUAGAUUCGUGUCAGGGGGAUACGCAGGCUAAUCUGAAAUAACUCUGGUAGUGCGUUAUUUGGUUAGAAUAGGGUUCCUCUAAUACGUAAGGCAAUUGGGGAAUUAAAUCUUACGGGCGUACCUAGGAUUAUUUCCUAAUUAGAGCAGUGAUUAACGGGCGUACCUUAAUCACCGACACAGUAAGGAGGAGUUGACUGUCAUCCCCUGGUUGGCAGUUAUAACCUAUUUAUUGAUAAAUAAUCGGAAUUGCCUUUAUUUCAAUGAUCAAUUAGGUGAACCAUUGCUGAAGUUACUUUUUUGCUAGAUCUUUAGUUAAUAUUACCUUGAUUUUAGUGAAGUGCCAUUUGACUUUUAGUUGCCUACUUUAUUUUAUUUUUAAUUGUUUCCUUGUUUUAAUUGAUUUAGGCCUUUAAUUAUUGUUAUUCUAAAUUCAGUGAAUUGUGGUUUAAUUUCUAGUUAGUUAUUUAUUUUUAUUUUCUUAUUUGAAUUUAUUUGAUUGCUGUCGUUCCUACAAAAUCACCCCCUGUGUUAUUUUGAAUUUCUUAAGAAACAAAUAUAUCCAGUCCCUGAGGAUACGACCCUACUUGCCCUGUCUACAAAUUCAUAAUUAUUUGUGAAAGAAAUAACCAUCCCAUUCGGGUAUAUCGGAUUAAGCAAACUCUUCGGGAACAAGGUGAAUCAAGUAACCCAUUGCACACCUAGAGUCCCUGCUCCAGUACUUGGAAUUGGGUCUUGGUCAUUUUAACUGGCAAUUAGGUUUAAUUUUAUUAUUGUGCAGGCUUCGACACCCUGUCAAUUUUUGGCGCCGUUGCCGGGGACUGGCGUUAUUAUUUGUUCCUUUUUAAAUUCAUUCUUUUUUUUUCCUUUUGCUCUAAUUUUCUGGUAUUUUUCUAGUGCAUGCCUUGGUCUUCUCGUACAGGUGAUUUGGUUUUUGACCCUGAGGUAGAGAAGACUGCGCGUAGAAUAAGAAAAGAGACCAGACAGCUCAGAGAGGAGCACUCCUGUGCUACAUCUCGGAGACCUGAGUCAGAAGCUGAACCAACAGAUUCAUUUGGUGACACUUCGAGUGACUCGGAGCAAGAAGAAAUCCCCAUGACUAAUGCACGAACAUUAAGGGAGUUGGCUGCUCCUGAUUUAAAUCAGCAGCCUUUAUGCAUUACUUUCCCAAGUUUGAGUGAAAACACUUCAUUUGAAUUGAAAUCAGGUCUAAUUCACCUUUUACCCUCUUUUCAUGGUUUACCAGGUGAAGAGCCGUAUAAGCAUCUGCAAGAGUUUGAUAUCGUAUGCAAUAGUAUGAAACCCCCGGGAAUUACAGAAGAGCAGAUAAAAAUGAGGGCAUUCCCCUUUUCCUUGAAGGAUUCUGCAAAGGACUGGCUGUACUACCUGCCACCAGGUAGCAUCACCACGUGGGACCAAUUGAAGAAAAAUUUUUUAGAUAAAUAUUUCCCUGUGUCUAUGGCUGCAAACCUAAGGAAAGAAAUUUGCGGGAUCAACUAGCAUCCAGGGGAGUCACUCUAUGAGUAUUGGGAACGGUUCAAGAACUUGUUGCACAAGUGUCCCCAGCACCAGAUAAGUGAGCAGUUGCUCAUUCAAUAUUUUUAUGAGGGGCUCCUUUUCAGAGAUAGGAGCAUAAUUGAUACUGCAAGUGGAGGGGCACUGGUGAACAAAACCCCUCGGGAAGCAAGGGAGCUAAUAGAAGGGAUGACAGAGAAUUCACUACAGUUCGGUACGAGGGAGGAUGUCCCAGUACGCAAGGUGAAUGAGGUUGAGACAUCCUCUAUCCAGCAGCAGCUAACUGAGUUGACCUCGUUUGUUAGGCAACUGGCUGUGAAAAAUGCAUCACAAGCCAGGGUAUGUGGGAUUUGUACUGGUAUGGGACACUCUGCAGAGAUGUGCCCAAUGAUUCAGGAAGAAACUGCAGAACAGGUGAACAUGACUGGUCACGCGCCCACGCCAAGAAGGGCCUAUGACCCGUACUCGAAUACGUACAAUCCCGGCUGGAAGGACCACCCAAAUCUCAGUUAUGGAAGAAAUAGGCAGCCCAACUAUGCACCGAACAGGCAGUCUAAUUUCGUGCCAAAUAAGCAACCAGGGUACCAGCAGCAAUAUCAACCCCGACCACUUCCGCCCCCGAGCUCUGGUCCAUCUUUGGAGAAGAUGAUGAAACAAAUGAUGGCAACCAUGACGCAAAAUCAGCAAAGGACGGAGGCAACCAUUAUGCAAAAUUAGCAAAGGACGGACUCUAAAAUGCAGGACAUAAGGAAUCAGAUAAGUCAAAUGGUUACAACAAUCAACCGUUUGGAUUCCCAGAACCAAGGUAAAUUGCCAUCUCAGCCUGAAUUAAAUCCGAAGAACGUGAGCGCAAUGACCCUAAGGAGCGGGAAGGAAAUUCAGGGGCUUGAAUCUGUGAUCCCUAAGGACUAGGAUGAGAAAAAGAUUGACAAUGAGCUUGAGAGGGAGGACAGCAAUGGUGCAGAUCCAAAGGUACUUCCAAACCCAAUAAUUACAGUUAAAACUAACCUACCUCCUUUUCCUAGCAGGUUGGAAAAAUCGAAAAAACAGGAUAAGAAGAAAGAGAUCUUGGAGGUAUUUCGCAAGGUGGAGAUAAAUAUCCCCCUCUUAGACGCCAUCAAACAAGUAUCAAAAUAUGCCAAGUUCUUAAGGGACUUGUGUGUCAACCGAAGGCGAUUCAGGAGAGAUGAAAGGAUCAUUGUUGGGGAGAAUGUGUCAGCGGUCCUGCAGAGGAAGCUUCCACCCAAGUGCGGGGACCCAAGUAUGUUUACUAUCCCCUGUAGAAUAGGCAACACUGUGAUUAGAAGGGCCAUGUUGGAUCUAGGAGCAUCAAUUAAUGUCAUGCCUAAAUCUAUCUAUGCUUCUCUAAAACUAGAUCCAUUAAAAGAAACUGGAAUAAUCAUUCAAUUGGCUGACCGAACUAAUGCAUACCCUGAUGGGUUGGUUGAAGAUGUGUUGGUAAAAGUUAAUGAUUUGGUGUUUCCAAUUGAUUUUUAUGUACUUGAUAUGGAUGAUGAUCACUCCCCUGAUCCCUCACCUUUGUUAUUGGGUAGACCCUUUAUGAGCACAGCACAAACAAAAAUUGAUGUUAAUAAGGGUAUCUUGUCCAUGAAAUUUGAUGGAGAAAUUGUGCAUUUCAAUAUUUUUGAUACUAUGAAAUAUCCCUCGAACUCCAAUUUUAGCUCUGUUUUUUCUGUGAGUGUUAUUGACCCUGCGGUGCAGGAAAUGUUUGAAACUGUUGGCAGGGAUGAAUUGAAAGUUGUUUUAACGAAGCAUCUCGAGUUGGAGACAACUCCUGAGGUGGAGUGGAGUGAAUAUUUAAAAUGCACGAUAGGAACACUACACUCAUUGCCAACCUCCACAAAAAGGUACGACGUUUCACCUAUAUUCAUUCCCGAACCUCACCAGAGGGUAUUGCCAUCGGUGGUGCAGGCGCCUGUUUUGGAGUUGAAGCCCUUACCAGAGCACCUGAAGUAUGCAUAUCUGGGUGACAAUGAGACACUCCCGGUGAUUAUCUCAUCGGCACUGUCAAAAACUCAGGAGGAAAAAUUGAUCCGGAUCCUUAGAGAGCAUAAAGAGGCGAUAGGUUGGACAAUCGCAGACAUUAAGGGGAUCAGCCCGGCCAUCUAUAUGCACCGGAUUAGACUGGAAGAGGAUGCUAAACUUGUUCGGCAGGCUCAAAGGAGGCUCAACCCCCUCAUGAUGGAAGUUGUAAAAAAGGAGAUUUUGAAAUUGUUAGAUGUGGGGAUUAUUUUUGCAAUAUCAGAUAGCCCUUGGGUGAGUCCGGUCCAGGUAGUCCCAAAGAAGGCAGGAGUGACGGUGGAAGCCAACCAAACAGGUGAACUCGUGCCAGUGCGCAAACCCACUGGAUGGAGGCAGUGUAUUGACUACCGUAGGCUGAACGCUGUCACAAAAAAGGACCAUUUCCCUCUUCCUUUCAUUGACCAAAUGGUUGAACGUUUGGCUUGUAGAGCUUACUAUUGCUUUUUGGAUGGAUUUUCAGGAUACUUUCAGAUAGCAAUUGCCCCAGAGGAUCAAGAGAAGACAACUUUCACAUGUCCGUUCGGGACUUUUGCCUAUAAACGAAUGUCAUUUGGGUUAUGCAAUGCACCUGCAACUUUUCAAAGAUGUAUGGUAAGCAUCUUUUCUGAGUAUGUUGAGAAAAUAAUUGAGGUUUUCAUAGAUGAUUUCAGUGUGUAUGGUGAUAGUUUUGAUACGUAUUUAGAUAACCUGAAAUUGAUCCUGAUAAGGUGUAUAGAGACUAAUCUCGUGCUUAAUUGGGAAAAAUGUCAUUUUAUGGUUGAGUACGGGAUAGUUCUGGGUCAUAUUGUAUCGUUUAAGGGCAUUGAAGUUGACAAGGCUAAAAUAGACAUUAUAUCGGCAUUACCUUACCCCGCAAAUGUACGGGAGGUGCGUUCUUUUCUUGGACAUGCAGGUUUUUACCGAAGGUUCAUCAAGGAUUUUUAAAAAAUUGGAGUCACAUUGUUCCAACUCUUACAAAAAGAUGUGACCUUUGAGUUCGAUGACAAGUGUGAAAAUGCCUUUAACAAGUUGAAAGAGUUACUGACCUCAUCCCCGAUCAUCCAACCCCCCGAUUGGGGUUUGCCAUUUGAGAUCAUGUGCGAUGCCAGUGAUCAUGCUGUAGGGGCUGUAUUUGGACAGCGAGUAGGAAAGGCAACUCACAUCAUCUAUUAUGCAUCCCGCGCCCUGAAUGGGGUCCAGUUGAAUUACUCCACCACUGAGAAGGAGUUUCUUGCAGUUAUUUUUGCUUUAGAAAAAUUCAGGUCAUAUUUGUUAGGUACUAAAGUGAUUGUAUUUUUUGAUCAUGCAGCAUUGAGAUACCUGAUGACUAAGAAAGAUGCAAAAUCGAGGCUCAUACGGUGGAUAUUGCUCAUACAGGAAUUUGACCUGGAGAUAAGGGAUAAAAGAGAUUCAGAAAAUUUAGUAGCCGACCAUUUGAGUCGUAUAUCCGUUGGGGAGGAUAAUGAACCAUUGAAGGAUGCAUUCCCUGAGGAGCAUUUAUUUUCUUUAAAUUCUCAAAUGCCUUGGUAUGCCGAUCUGGUCAAUUAUUUGGUAACUGGUAAUUUUCCUGCAAGUUGGCCAAAAUCGAAUAGGGAUAAAAUGAAAAGCGACGCCAAAUAUUUUAUUUGGGAUGACCCGUACUUAUGGAAGAGAUGUGCAGAUCAAGUGAUGAGGAGAUGUGUAAGUGAAAUGGAAUUUCAAUCGAUUUUAGUUUUUUGUCAUACUUUUGCAUGUGGGGGUCAUUUUGGACCUAAGAGAACUGCUCAUAAGGUUUUAGAAAGUGGAUUUUAUUGGCUUUCAUUGUUUAAGGAUGCCUAUGUGUUUUGUAAGUCAUGUGAUCGCUGUCAACGGGUAGGUAAUAUAGCCCGUAGAGAUCAUAUGCCCCAAGUCCCGUUGAUUUUUGUUGAAAUUUUUGAUGUUUGGGGUAUAGAUUUCAUGGGGCCUUUUCCUACUUCAUUUGGUUUUAUAUAUAUUUUGUUGGCAGUUGAUUAUGUGUCUAAAUGGGUGGAGGCCAAGGCCACUCGGACUAAUGACUCGAAAGUAGUUGCAGAUUUUAUCAGGUCUAAUAUUUUUGUGCGAUUUGGAAUGCCAAGAGUUAUUGUCAGUGAUAGGGGAACGCAUUUCUGCAACAAAACCAUAGCUGCGUUGUUUCGCAAGUAUGGUGUACUCCACAGGGUCUCAACGUUGUACCACCCCCAGACCAAUGGUCAAGCGGAGGUAUCGAAUAGGGAGAUUAAGUCCAUUUUGGAGAAAAUGGUGCGCUCCGAUAGGAAAAAUUGGAGUCAACGGUUGGAGGACGCGCUCUGGGCCUACCGCACUGCAUACAAGACUCCUAUAGGGAUGUCACCGUACAAGUUGGUGUUUGGGAAGCCGUGUCACCUUCCAGUGGAGUUCAAGCACAAAGCCUUUUGGGCGAUAAAGCAAUGCAACAUGAACUUAGAGGAAGCCGGUGCCCAACGAAAGUUGGAUUUGCAAGAAUUGGAGGAGAUCCGGAACGAAGCCUACGAAAAUGCAUUAAUUUAUAAGGAGAGAAGCCAGACAUUUCAUGAUCAACAAAUUUCAAGAAAAACUUUUGAAAUUGGUCAGAAGGUCCUCCUGUACCAAUCCAGACUCAAGUUAUUCCCAGGUAAGCUACAUUCCCGUUGGAUUGGACCUUUUGUUUUGACUCACGUUUUUCCCUAUGGCACAGUUGAAAUCCGGAGUGCUAAGACAGACAACAAGUUUGUGGUGAAUGGACACUGUCUCAAACAUUAUUACGAAGGUUUUUUGAGGGGAGAGGUGGAGACAAUAAGUGUAGACGCACCACCGUGUCCUAAUCAGUGACACUUAAUCAUGUCUAGCCAAAAACAUUAAAGAAAGGCGCUCAUUGGGAGGCAACCCAAUUGUUUCUUUUAAUUGUUUGUUUUGAUUUCUUGUGGUAGUUUAAAUAUGUUUUCCUUGAGUUUGAUUGGUUUCGGGUUUGAAAUUUUCAUUUUUGCUGAUUUGUAGGUGUUCUUCUGUCAUGACGCGCCCGCGCGAUGACGUGGGGAGCGCUCACGGUCAGAGAGUUCUCCUGCUCUCAUGACGCGCUCGCAUCAUGACGCCCAGGAAGCUCAGGGUCAGCAAGCUCUCUUGCUCUCAUGACGUGCUCGCGUCACGUUCGCGGGAAAGGUAAGGAUUCAAAAAAAAAAAAUUCUUCUUAUCACCAUAGCUUUAGUUUCCAAAAAUUCAAAAAGGAGAAAUUUUUUUUAAAAAAAAAUAAAAAAAAAAAGAAAAAUUUAAUUUCCGUACAAAAUUUUUUUUUUCUCUGUGGCUUAAAUGGAGCCUAAAGACAAGAAAAAAAAAGCCAAAACAGUUUUUUUUUCUUUUCCUUCUUUUCUUUUCUUUCUUUCCUUUCUUUUUUUUCUUUCUUCUUCUUUCUUUCUCUUUUCUUUCUUUCUUCUCCUUUGUUUUGCUCUGUCCGUCGCCCGUGCCCACCUCCAUCUCCGGCUCCACGCCGCCAACCAGCAGAUCUCCACUUCACAGCGUCACUUGCGCGCCGCCGCUGCUCUGAACAUCUCCCUCGCACGACUUUUCCCUCUUUCAGCAGCGAUCCACUUCGCAGCGCCGCUGCUGCGCGCCAGCGCUGCUCUGUGCGAGCUCUCCCUGAGCCAAACACCCAAGCGCGCGGCCUACGCUACGCCGCUACGCGCCACCGCACCCCUCCCAACUCUACCGCGCGGACUCGCCGCCGCUCUGCUCCCACCGCACGCCAGAUUGCUCCUAUUCCGGCUCCAGCUCGGUCUCCACAGGUGCGUAACACGCCUCGCCUGUGUACGCCGCCGCUGCUCACUGCUCGCGUCUCACUUGCGCGCUGCCGACUCUCCCUCCGCUACUGCCGGCCGAUUGCUCUCUCUCUGCGCGCGACCCUAUCAGACCGCCUCGCCUCUGCAAGCCGCCAGCUCUCUCACCCCACUCGCCCCUUUUACGGUGGAGGUAUUUGAGACUUGCUCACCAAUUUCUUCGUACUAAUUAAGCUGUCUGGAUUGGUAGACAAUUGUUAUUGUUGGCCGUGGGAGCUAUCCUUUGGACUAUUUAUUGUGUUUUUCUUUGGAUUUGAGUUCUUUUGUUUUGGCUUUGAUGGAUGAUUGCCCGUUCCUUUGCUCUUGGGUUGUCUGAUUAGCAUUUUUCAUUGCUAUUGAUGGUGCGUUGGCACACUGUUGAGCGUCAUCUACUUGUGGAAUCGAACCAUUGCUGUGUUUAGAGUUUUCAUUAGUGUGGGUCGGUCAUUGGGAUUGUUUCAUCUACUCUAUUGUUGACAGCCGGGGGCUUAUUGCUUGAAUUGUUGGGACUAAGGUGGCGCGAUUUCUGGGUUGUUUGUUGAAUUGGAAAGGCAUUGUGACCCAUGCAUUGUUUCUUGAAGUUGGUUAACUAAUUUUGGAUUACUGGGUGUAUUUGGUCUCUUGAUCUCACUUGCAUUCUGUUUUCAUUUCAAUUGAGUCGUUUACUGCCUUUGUUGGACCAUCUUAUUGAAUAACCUCUGCCAAUUGCUAGUUGUGGUUAUCAGUUAGGCUUCCUGUAGUUCCUGAGUAUCAUUGUUGCUUUGUUGGGAAACUGGUAUAAAUUGUGGGUGACUCUAUUGUCCAUUUGCUGGCUGAUUAACUCGGUAUUUGCUGGUUACACUGGGCGUUGGACAUUCUGCAUCUUGUUGUUCCUGCUGACUGUUGGGGAAUAUGGUGAGACCAAAAUCAUCCUCUAGGUCUAGAGCCCCUCGUUCUCAACCCCCUCCUCAAGCCUCCAUUCCUGUGAAUACAUCUACCAACCUACCUUCCUCUUCUGGUGCUCGAACCCGUUUGGGUAGGGGUAGGGGUGCUCAAGUGGAUACCCCAGCUCACUUCGGAGGGCACCUAACAUUCACUAGACCCGCCGAUCAGCAGAGAUAUGCUAAGGUCUGUGAGCGGCGUAUUAUACCUUGUAAAACUUGGGAAAAAUUAACCGUGAUGGGCCUAGGCAUACGAGAGGAGGUCGAGCAGAUGUUUACAGCUAUCGGGUGGCGCCCAUAUCUAGAUAUCUUAUGCCCCGCCUUUGUCAAGCUGACUCGGGAGUUUUAUUCUACCUUUGAGUUUGAGUUGCCCACGAGGUUCACCGUUGAAACGCCCAAUGUCAUCCGUUUCCGUCUGAUGGGUCGGGAAUUUAAUUUUUCAAUUACCCAAUUUAAUUUGGCAUUUGGAUUCAUUACUCGAGAGUAUGCUGAGACUAGGGAGUAUGGUGAGAGUGCCUGCGAUUACAUCGAGCCUUUUCUCUCCCGCUACCGCGCUGUGUGGGAAGACAUGUCUACCGAUCGGCACCGAUACGACCCUUCUCGGUCUAGGGGCUCCUUUCUUAAGGACCCUAGCGCCCGAUACGUCCAUCGAUUCUUAGCCUACAGUUACUCCGGUCGGAAGGACAGCUCUGGCAUUCUCUCUCGACCUGAGUUUUUCUUCAUCUGGAGUAUGAAGAAUAACAUCAAGGUCAACUUGGGGUGUUGGUUGGCGGCGCAGUUCAAGACCGUCUUAACCAAAAAGAACAAGCCCCUGAUCCUUGGGUCCUAUAUCACCCACUUGGCAACACAGUUGGGGGUUCUUAACCUGGAGGACCACGACUUACAUUUGGCGUGCGAGAUGGGGCUCUUGGACGUAGAUUGCUUGGAGAAGAUGGGAGUCGUCGAGCGCCUGCCUGAUGGUUCCUACCAGUUCACUCCUCCGGGACCACCUAGAGCUCCGGGUGCGCACCAUUCGUCCCAAGCAGGGCCCUCCUCAUUUUCGGGGUCAGCCGAGGACACGGCUGGGCCAUCUUCUUCUGCGCCACCUCCACCACAUGGGACGACUGAGUGGCAGCAACUCCGGGAGCAGGUUCAGACUUUGGAGGCUCGGAUGGUCAACGUGGACGCCAAUGUCGCCGGCAUAGCACAGAAUUUGGCGCAGUUUCUGCUUCAUACAGGCUAUGCACCUCCGUUUCCACCUCGCCCCCCACUAUGACCCGGUUUCAGGGAAGUUUCGUUGUCUUCUCCCUCACUUUUGCUGUUUAUUUGACACAUUGAGAACACUGUGUCCUAUAGGUGUGGGGGGGUCUAGAGUCUUUUUAGUUUUUAAUAGUUUUUAGUUUCUGUGUUUUUAGCUUUUAAUAGUUUUUAGUUUUUAGUAGUUUUUAGUUUUAAUAGUUUCUAGUUCUACUUCUAGUUGCUUAUUUUCUUCCUUUCUGCUUGGGUGCUCAUCUCUCAUGCGGAUGAAAAAAAAAUGAUGUUGGUUUAUUGACUCUGAUUCUACUUUUACCAAGUUUUUCUUUUUAAAUAAACAUGUAUCGGGCUAAUGUGGUGGGGUCCAAGAUAUCUCCUUGGUGAAUAUCGGAUUGCUUGGUUUUUUUUAUUUCUUUGUUAACUUUUUUAGGCAUUGGGAAUGACUGUUGGCAUUUUAAUGUGAACUGGUCCAAUAUUGAUUCCAGUUCUCCAUGUUUGGCAAUAAUGAGGCGAGCUGCUCCUAUGCUUAGUUGCUAGUGUUGGUAUUUCGCGUUUUUGCAUUGUUUGGCUGUGAAUAAGUUUGACUGUACUCCGCUAUUAAGUUACUACUGAGUAACCGGGAAUCUGCACCUAAAAGUGUCGAUUCUCGCGUCAAAAGGUGGUGCUUUCUAUGAGUACGUGGUCGUAUAGCGGUAGGAGCUGAGUAACCGGGUUCAUUCAUCUAAAAAUAUUGGAGUUCGCGUCAAAAGGCCCCGACGGCUAAAGACUAAGUCUUUUUGUGUUAAUUAUUAUUGCUAUUAAAAAAAACAAAACACAGAAAACGGAAAAAAAAGGGGAAGAAAAAAAAAGGGAGAAUAAAUAAUAGGAGAGCUUGCCGGUUUAUGGACUUAAUAUGCAGACUCGUGUGAAUAUUUGGAUCAUUAGCUGAUAAAUGUGGUGUGCCAUUCCUUUUUCUUAGAUUAGCUAAUUUAGAAAUUGAAGAAAUUUGUGGUUUAGAGGCUAACCGGGGGGAUGCUUCUCGGAUUUUAAUCACUAGUGCUCGAUAUAUGAUUCUUCCUGAUAUCUUGGCAAUUUGGUGGAUAGAGCAAUGGCCAUUAUCAAAUUUUGGGGUCUGUGCACUAUUCUUAUGCUUGAGGACAAGCACGGUUUAGGUGUGGGGGGAAUUGAUAGGUUGCAAUUUAUCUAUUUAUUUUAUUAUUAAUUUCCCCUGUUACCUGACCCGAUGUAGAUUAAUUAUUAGAUUCUACUCAUUUUUCGUAAUUUGCAUUUAUUUCAGGGAGUAGAACGAAAAUAUAACAACGGGUGCCAAUUUGACAGAAAAGGAAUCCAGAUGAUAGAGCUUGUCCCAGGGGCAUUUUUGGAAAAGAAGAUGUCACGCCCACUUUGGUAAUUUUCGUAAAGAAAUGAUGGACGAAGGGCUUCUUCCUCCUGGUGAGCCGCCGCAAUAAAGGAGGAAAAACAGGAUCAGAUGGAGGCGAGCUUAGUUUUAGUUUUCCGUCUGUAGCUUAGCUUGAGAUUGUUGACUUUUCCCUAAAAAUGCUUUUUGCUUGUCAUACGCAUGGCAGGCAUUAGAAAUUGGUAGCUUUUGACUUUUUUUCAUGUUAAAUGCUUAGAGUUUUUCUAUCUUUCCUGGUAUGCCGUCCGUAGUGAGGCAGAGGAUCAUUUCGUGUAACUUUGCUAUCUCCUCCUGGUUGGAGCGGAUUGAGUUCUAAAAAAUCAAUGACAAUGGUCGCAGCUUUAUCUUCAAUUUCCCGUGGACUUAGUUCAUCAAAUAUGAACUAAUUUCCUUCCUACUAGUCAAAGAGCAACGAAGGCUUUGGUUCGCCUAAAAAUUGUGAGAUCGAUUUAAUUCAAUCUUUUCCUUUUAUUUAUUGAUAUCCGCAUACUUCCUGAUUUCUAUGCUCAUGGUUAUUUAAUUAAUUGAUUAUCUUGGAUCCGGAUAACUAAUUGAGUUGGUACCCUAUCGUCAAUUAGGGCAUUAAAUCCGUAAUUGUUUAAUUGUCCUGAAAUAGUGAUAACUGGCACGAUUAGAUUCGUGUCAGGGGGAUACGCGGGCUAAUCUGAAAUAACCCUGGUAGUGCGUUAUUUGGUUAGAAUAGGGCUCCUCUAAUACGUAAGGCAAUUGGGGAAUUAAAUCUUACGGGCGUACCUAGGAUUAUUUCCUAAUUAGAGCAGUGAUUAACGGGCGUAUCUUAAUCACCGACACAGUAAGGAGGAAUUGGCUGUCAUCCCCUGGUUGGCAGUUAUAACCUAUUUAUUGAUAAAUAAUCGGAAUUGCCUUUAUUUUAAUGAUCAAUUAGGUGAACCAUUGCUGAAGUUAUUUCUUGGCUAGAUCUUUAGUUAAUAUUAUCUUGAUUUUAGUGAAGUGCCAUUUGACUUUUAGUUACCUACUUUAUUUUAUUUUUAAUUGUUUCCUUGUUUUAAUUGAUUUAGGCCUUUAAUUAUUGUUAUUCUAAAUUCAGUGAAUUGUGGUUUAAUUUCUAGUUAGUUAUUUAUUUUUAUUUUCUUAUUUGAAUUUAUUUGAUUGCUGUCGUUCCUACAAAAUCACCCCAUGUGUUACUUUGGAUUUCUUAAGAAACAAAUAUAUCCAGUCCCUGAGGAUACGAGCCUACUUGCCCUGUCUACAAAUUCAUAAUUAUUUGUAAAAGAAAUAACCAUCCCAUUCGGGUAUAUCGGAUUAAGCAAACUCUUCGGGAACAGGGAGAAUCAAGUAACCCAUUGCACACCUAGAGUCCCUGCUCCAGUACUUGGAAUUGGGUCUUGGUCAUUUUAACUGGCAAUUAGGUUUAAUUUUAUUAUUGUGCAGGUUUCGACACCCUGUCAACAGGUUGCCGAGUCUGUGCAAUAAUAAUUUUAAUUAUCCUAAGUGCCAACUACGCACUUUCGUGUCAAUUCUAGUAUUGGAGCAAGGACUCUAGAUGUGCAAUAUGUUACUUGAUUCACCCUGGUUCCGAAGAGUUUGCUUAAUCCGAUAUAACAGAAUUUAGUCACGAGAAAUUUAUAAUAUAUAUAUAUAUAUAUAUAUAUAUAUAUAUGGCAAACAGGAUCGUAUUCUCAGGGACUGGAGAUAUUUGUCUCUUUGAAAUUCCAAUCGGCAAUAGGGGGUUUUAUCGAAAUAAAGAUAAAAACAAUUAAGCAAUUCAACCAAAGACAAACAAUUAACUAAUACGAAUGUAGAUAGGAAUUAAAUUAAUAAUAGACAAAUUCUAGCCAAAGAUACAACUUCUCAGACACAGUCCGUUCAUCCGAUCAUUGAUGCAAGGGCGGGUUCACUUAAUUUAUUAAUAAGUUAGUUAUAAUCGCCAACAAACUCUGACGACCAGCUUUUCUUUAGUUUAUUGAUAACCAAGGUACGACCAUUAGUUACCCCUAACCAGGAAACACUCCUAUGUACGACCGUAGGAGUGAAUUCCCUAAUUGCACUAAGAAUUAGAAGAGCCUAACCCUAAUCAAUAACACGCUACGAGGGUUAUUUAGAUCAGAUCGCACGUUCCUCUAGUGUGUAUAAACGCUAGUUGCCACUGAUAUUAAUCGAUUAAAUAAUUAUGGAUUUAAUUGAUUAAUUUGGUAGGAAAUUAACAAGUCACCUUAAAUAUCGGGUCCUAGACAUCCAAUUAACAAAAUAAUUUCAUAGAAAUUCAAGUAAAAAACGUGCAAAUAUCAACGUAUUAAGGAAUGCGUAAAAACUAAUACGAUCUCAUAGAUAUUCGGGACCGCAUCAUCGCAUUGAUUUUUGACCAGAUGAAAAGCUUAACUACACCUCAUGAGAAAAUUUCCACUCAAUUCAAUCGAUUUCAAAGGCAUCUGCCUUUUUCUCUAAUAAUCAAGAAUAAAAAUUGUUUUGCAGUCGACCCCCAAUAGAAAGAACGGAAAAAGAAGCAAAAACGAAAGCUGUCUUCCUAACAAAGGAAUUCCCCCUUUUUCAAGGGAGCCUGUUUGACUCGUUGUUCCCCCUUUUCCGAAUCCCCGGGGACUAAUUACAAAGAAUCCUGUUUUUUUUUUCUUGUUUCCUCCUGGUAACGCACCGCUUGGCCACCAGAAUAGGAAACUGUCUUCCAAUUGGAGUCGGGCUUGCAACUCUUUGUAGAUUUGCACUUCUCGUCCUUCACUUUUCAGAAUCUUGUACUCCAUCCCUGCAAUUGUGUCCAAAUGCCAAUUAUAAGUAGAAUCCGAUAAUUAACAAAAUAUUUGGCACAAAUAAUGAGGGAAAUUAACCAGAAAAUGACUAAUAAUUAUGACCCUAUCAAUUUUUUUAUACUCAUUAGGUUGCUGAGAAGAAGGACCUGCACCUCACAUUUGCCUUUCGUUUUGAAAGAUUCAAGGAAAGAAAAUUUUAUUGUUUUUGGACCAUUUAUCCUCGUAUUUCUGGGGAGCACCCUGCAUCUGCACCUAGGCUCUGUUUUUUUUUUUUGUGAUUUGAGACACUUUGAUGAUUUUACCGUCUAAAGCGUGUAGAAUAAAAAUUAAUUCCACUUCUUACCAUGAUGCAACCAUUGAGUAGGAAAAAUAAAUAAGGACUUUAAGUUAAACAGAAAUUUCCGACAUCACAAAACUGAUUCUGUUAAGAUAUGCUUAUAUUUUAAUUUUCUUAAAUAAAGUUUUUCUUUAUAACUCCACACACUUUUAAUGUAAAGUUAUGAUUAAUGCGCGAUAAUAUGCACCAUUAUAUUGGCUUCUCAGUUAUGCUGGGGAUUUAUUUCCAAACAAAAUAUUAUCAUAGUUUCAGAAAAUGUACAAAAAUUAUGUAAGGGCCAAUUAUGUCUAUAUAUAAAGCCAUCAAAUUCGAACUACCCUGAUGCAAGAACAUAUGAAAAAGAAAACUUGAUAAACUCACACUUCAGAAAACCAAGAGUUCGAAUUAUUUAGCAAAUUGUAGGAUAAAUUAGAUAUAACUCCCCUGAUGCUAGAACAUAUGAAAAAAAAGAGUAGAUAAACUGCACUUUUGGAAACCAAGAGUUUGAGUUAUUUAGCAAAUUGUAGGGUAAAUUGCAUAUAACUCCCCUAUAGUUUUGCACAAUGUCAGAUAAUUCAUCUAAGGUAUCAAAAUAGCCACGUGCUCUAUUUUAUGUAAAGUGGAAAAUAGACAAAAUACAUUAAUUAGUUACGGCGAUUAAAUCACAUGUGCUCUAAAAGUGCGUAUGAUAAAAUUACACUAUUCACUUAACUCUCUUAUGAUUUGCAUAAAUAUCUACUUUACCCCCUCAUGAUUUUUGCAUUUAUCCUCGUAAUCCCCCUACGAUUUUAUAUAAGGUGACUAAUUUGUUGUUUGAUUUAACAUUUAAAUAAGGACACUGCUGGUACUAUGCCCUCGGGGUAAUUUUGGUAUUCAAGUUAUUAUAGAGCAUAGGCUUUGGAUCUUUAUGUCAUCCUUAACCAAAAAAAGGGGCAAGUGUGGAGUAUCUAAAGCUUUUCUGAAGUGCAAAUAUCAUUUGCUUUUUCCAAAUUGACCUCAACUUAGUAAUUAAGUGACAAUGAAGUUUUUACAUUUCAAUACGGUUUCUUAAGCAAUGUACUGAGUAACAUAAUUACUUGGGUAUCUGAUGACAAGUAAGCAACGCAUAUUACCUCCACGUAGAUGUUAUUUUUUUCUACUGCAAGAUUUAGAGCACAUAAAUUCUUCUAUUAAACCGAAAGACUACUUGAUUGUGUCUGGAAAAAAAUCUUUCGUAGUUAAAUUAGAUAGGAGCUUACAACAUCACAAUAAUAAUUUAUUUAGCACGAGUAAUGAGUUGCUUGCUUAGUAUAAGGGAAAAAUACAAGUGAUAAGUUUCUCAAUAGAAAUAAUCUGAAAAAAAAAAAAUUCCCUCGAAAAAGUUGAAGGUAGAACGGCAUUAUCAGAAAGGGCAUUUGGAGGCAUAUCAAAGUGGUGGGCUCACUGCUUCUAAACCUUUACAAUUGGGCCCUAUUUAUGUAGAAUUGUUACAAUUGCUUGAUUCGGGUCCCUGUUUUCCUCAAGAAGAACUAUGUUCUUUCCUCACCUUUAUUUUCUCAUUUGACCAAGAUGGCGUUUGGUUAGAGAGUUUCAGGAUGGAGAAUUAGAAUAAAUCCCAUAAUUAUUAUUUGGAUUACUACUAUCGAAAUCGAGAUUUUGGAAUCAUACCUAAAAAUUUAGAAUUCCUUAAUUCCCUAGUAAUUUGGAGGGUUUUGGAUAAAACCCAACUCUGAUUCCCAUUUGGAAAUGGGAACCAUCCCGCCACCCAUUAAAAAAAUUAAUAUAUAAUAAUAUACAUAUAUAUAAUUAUGUAUAUAAUAUAUAUUAUAAUUAUAAUAUUUAAUUAUAAUUAUAUACUUUAUUAUAAUAUUAGUAUAAUUAUAUAAUAUAUUUAUAAUUAUUAUAUAGGCAUAUAUAAUAUAUUAUAUAAAUAUAUUAUAAUUAUUUAAUUAAAUGUAAUUAUAUUUAUAUACAAUAUAUUAUAAAUUUAUUAAUAUUAUAUAAUAAUAUAUUUAUAUUAUUUAUAUAUUUAUAAAUGUAUAUUUUAUAUGCAUAUAAUUAUAGUAUAUACAUGUAUAUAAUAAUAAUAUAUUAUAUAAUUAUAUUUAUUUUUGUUAUUAUAAAUAUAAUAAAAACUAUAUUUAACAUAUAAUAUACUAUAUAAUAUAUAAUAUUAGUAUAAUUAAUAUUUAUAUAUAAUUAUAUAUUUAUAUUUAUAUUAUGAUGUAUACAUAUAUACAAUAUACAUUAUAAUUAGAAUAUUUUAUUAUAAUAUUAGUAUAUUAUAGAAAUAUAUAUUAUAAUUAUUUAGUUAAAUAUAAUUAUAUUUAUAUAAUAUAUAUUAUAAAUUUAUUAAUAUUAUAUAAUAAUAUAUUUAUAAUAUAUACGUAUAUUUAUAAAUGUAUAUUAUAUGUGCAUAUAAUUAUAAUAUAUACAUGUAUAUAAUAUUAGUAAAUUAUAUAAUUAUAAUUAUAAUUAUUAUUUUAAAUAUAAUAUAUAUAAUUAUUAUUAUAUUUAAUAUAUAAUAUACAUUAUAUUUAUAUAAAAAUUAGUAUAAUUAAAAUUUAUAUAUAUUAUAUACUUAUAAUUAUAUUUAUAUUAUAAAUUUUGUAUAAUUAUAUUUAUUUAUAUAUAUAGCAUUUAAUUUAAUUAGUUACAAACGUAUAAUAAUGAUAUUAUUAGUUAUAUGUAUUAUAUAAUGUAUAUUAACCUAUGUAAUAUAAUUGAUAUUAUCAAUUAUACUAAUAUUUAUACAUAUUUACUAAUAGAAAUUAUUAAUUAUUUAUACUAUAUUUACUAAUACAUUUAUACUAAUAUAUUUAAUUAGUGAAAAUUUCUUAUAUUCCAUUUACAAAAAGUCAACGAACCAAACAUCAACCAUGGGUCGGGCUGUGCACCGGGCCAGUGAAAUGGAAAUCGGUGCAGGCGGUGUCUUGGAACCGCCCUCCGUUGCACCAUGUCAAGUUGAAUACCGAUGCUAGUGUUGCUCACAAACGUGCGUAUGGGGGUGGUUUGCUUCGCGACUCGGACGGCCACUUAAUUUUUGCCUAUUAUAAGGAGUUCGGGGAGUUGGACGUCCUGCUGGCAGAAAGUGCAUCAUUGCUGCAUGGAUUUCAGCUUUGUAGGGACCUAGCCACGGGGCCCCUGCUGGUGGAGGUGGACUCUAAGAGCUUGGUUGAUCUUCUCAAUACGGGAGCGACGUCCCGUUGGCCUUUGUGUAACACGUUGCGUCGCAUCCGAGCGCUGCUUUCCUCACUUUCGGCAACAGUAUCUCACAUCUUUAGGGAGGCAAAUGCAUCGGCGGAUGCGCUCGCUGGGUUGCGGAUGUCGUCGGAAUUAUUUUGCACUUUGCUUCCUCAGCUUCCGCAUUUUGUGCGGGCUACAGUAUGCCUAGACAGCCGCGAGUUCUCUUCCCUGCGUUGGCAACCCGGAUAGGUCUUGUAUCUGUGAUAGGCUUAACUUAUGUACUCCAAUGUUUCAUCCUACCGUGUACUCCUCUGCUUCCAAUCAAUAUAAGUAACUUCGUUUAAAAAAAAAAAAACUAUACAUUUAAAAACUAUAGUAACGAUCUACAUUCCUGGCAUUGAACCAAACAAAUAUAUUGAAAUCAUUGAUUUCAUUUCAAAUCUAGGAUGAAUGAUUCCGAAUCCGAAUCUGAUUCCAAUAUGCGAACCAAAUGCCACAUAAAAGUUAAAUCUCCCGAGGAUAUGGGCCGAGCAAUGACUGCCCAAGAUAGGGAUAAAUAAGCUCUAAUGACCAGGUCGUGAACAUUCUUUUGGUUGCAUAUCUAACAAAUCACCGCUGAAAACCCUAUCAAAAUUAUCUUACAUGGUGUUUUUAAGCUUCAAAUGAAAAUUGAUAAGUUUAUAACUAAAAUUUGUAAGAUCUAUUUUGAUGAAAUUAGCAUAGGAGCAUAAGCGUUGCACAUGGUGGGCAUUUGUUUUAGGAAUACGUACUAAGAUAAUUUUUUAAAAUUAAUUAAAAAGAAUAGAAAUUUAACUAUUUAAAUUUCAUAUUGCUAUCAAUUUUCUCCUCCAACAAAACAUAUAAAUUAUUUGUUUAACAAAACCUUGUCAAUAGUACGCCUGAGUAGCAAAGUAUAGAAAAAGGGGUAGCUAUAUUGCCAAAACAAUUAUGUUCUUGCCAGAGCAAUUUCACUCUAAAUAAUAGUAAUACCCUCACAAACCAAGAGUACCCAUAUUUUGUAUUGUAUAGAUCCACGGAAUAAAACAAGCGCCAAAAUUGAAAACCAAUUUAAAGUGGGAUUUGGCUCAUCUCUAGUUGAUUCUCUCUCCAUUUUUCGAAGUACUCAUCUAGAUGUAUGACACGUAUCUUCAUUUAUUAACAAGAGUUAGGAUUAAUUAAAUUUAAAUUGACCAUGUCCCUUCUUAGUAAUUCAAGACAUGUGUCAUACAUUUAAACUAGUGUGAAUACCCGUGCUACGCACGAUGCUUACGUUAUUGAAAUAAAUUAAAAGAUUAUAGUAUUUUAAUUUGAAAAAAGUUAAAAAAAUUAUGCCAACAUAAUUAAAAUUUAAUAUUUGUCUAACAAUAGUUCAAAGUAUGACAAAAUCAGUAGAUCAUUCAAGAAUUGCGUUUUUGCGAAAGAUGGAUUUUAAAAUAAUAAUAAAAAUUUAUAUUACAAAAUGAAUGAUAUAUGGAUAGAAAUAAAUGUAAUUGCAUGUUUUAUUUGAUUUCAAAAUGAAAUACUUACAAACAUUGUGCAUUCGAUUUAAUAAUCUUGUUCAAAGGUGCAAACAUUUUUUACAUCAAUCAACUUUUUGUAUGAAAAUUAAUAUUGGUGGUUUAAUUAAUUCUAUUAAAUUUUGUAGAGUUCGUACUACAAAAAAAUGUUGAGUAAGACUUGUAUUUCUUGGAAGUGAACUUGCUGAACCUUUUUAAAAUAUUUCAUUGGGAUCACUAUGGUAUGAAAUUCGUUUUGUAAUCAAUUAUUUUUUUCUUUGUAAUCUUGCAGGUUUGGAAUUAAGACGCCAUUGAAAUUAAAUGAUGGAACCAAUGGGGGCUAAUGGAGGCCAUAGCCCUCCUCCCCAAGUUUUAAAAAUUUUAAUUCAUAUUAUAUAAAUAUUUGUGUAAAAUAAAGUUGGCCCUCCUAAUUUUUUUACAAUUUUAGUUUGUAUUAUGAGAAUAUAUAUAUAUAUAUAUAUAUAUAUAUAUAUAUAAGUAUAUAUGUGUGCGUGUGUGUGUGAAUUAACUACAUUUGAAUUAAUAUUUGUACUUAAAAAAGUUAUUUAUUUUUUAUAUCCCUUUAUAAUUAAAGUUAAUAAUUGAUAUUUUUAGAUGUCAUAUAUUUAAAUAGAUGAAAAUUAUUUCAAAAUAAAAUACUUAAAAACAUUAAGCAUUCGGUUUGAUAAUUUUGUACAAAGAUACGAGCAUUUUUUACAUCAAUCAACUUUUAGUAUGAAAAUUAAUAUUGGUGAUUUAAUUAACUCUAUUGAAUUUUGUGGAGUUAAUACUAUAAAAAAAUGUUCAGUAAGACCUGUAUUUUUAGAAGUAAACUUGCUAAACCUUUUUAAAAUAUUUCAAUAGCAUCAGUAUAGUAUAAAAUUCGUUUUGUGAUCAAUUUUUUUCUCCUUUGUAAUCUUGUAGUUUUGGAAUUACGAUGCCAUUGAAAUCAAUGAUGGAACCAAUGGGGGCUAAUGGGGGCCAUAGUUCCCCCUCCCCCAAGUUUUAAAAAUUUUAAUUCAUAUUGUGUAAAACAAAGUUAGUUUUCCAAAUUUUUUACGAUUUUAGUUUAUAUUAUGAGAAUAUAUAUAUAUAUAUAUGUACAUAUGUGUGCAUGUGUGUGUGAAUUAACUACUUUUGAAUUAAUUUUUUCUUAAAAAAUUAUUUAUUUUUUACAUCCCUUUAUAAUUAAAAUUAAUAUUUGAUUUUUUAAAUGUCAUAUAUUUACAUAAAUAAAAAUUAUUUUGAACAUAACACAUAAAAUUAAUUUCGUGAUACUACAAAAAAGUGUUCAGUGAGACCUGUGUUUCUUAGAAGUGAACUUGCUGAGCCUUCUUAAAAUAUUUAAGUGAGAUCACCAUAGUGUAAAAUUCGUUUUGUGAUCAGUUGUUUUCUCCUUUGUACUAUUGCAGGUUUGGAAUUAAGACGUCAUUGAAAUCAAUCAUGGAACCAAUAUGGGCUAAUGGGGCCCAUAGCUCCCCUCUCCCCCAAGUUUUAAAAAUUUUAAUUCAUAUUGUGUAAAUAUUUGUGUAAAACAAAAUUAGUCCUCCUAAUUUUUUAUAAUUUUAGUUUAUAUUACGAGAAUAUAUAUGUAUAUAUGUGUGCGUGUGUGUGAAUUAACUAUCUUUGAAUUAAUUUUUUUAUUAAAAAAGUUAUUUAUUUUUAACAUACCUUUAUAAUUAAAAUUAAAAUUUGAUAUUUUUAGAUGUCAUAAAUUUAAAUAGAUGAAAAUUAUUUUAAACAUAACACAUUAAAAUAAUUAUGUUAGGAAAAAUUUUAGCCCCUCUAGAAAAAAAAUCUUAGUUUCGUCACUGAUUGAAAUAUUUGUAAGUGAGAUUUAUCCAUGGUGAAUGUAUGAUACAUAAUUUUUUUAACUGUAUUUAAUUUAUAUGAUGACAAAUGAAAUGGGUAAAUUAGAUUAGUGAUCAUAAGUUUUAUAAAUGAUUAUGAGAAUAAAAUAUAUUAUGACAAUAAGAUACGUUGAAUUGUGAAAAUUGUAAUUUAAACAGGCUCCUAAAUUUUGGAUAUGUGACUUUUGUGAGAACCCGUAAUUUUCCAUUUUCUAGGUUUAUUAUAUUUUCAAAGGCUUGUUUUUUGCAUUUUCGUGAUUAGAAAAAUUUCUAGAUAUUUUUAAGGAGUAGAUAGAGUUUUUAGGUGAUUUUUCUAGUAUCGAAUAGUUUUUGAGAAAUUAAGAGCUUAUACCAGACGUGGGACCCACUAGUGCGAAAAGUUCGGAAAAAUUCGGCCAACUAGGUUAAGUUUUGGAUACUGGGUUUAAAUUAUCGGGUGUUAAGAGAUAAGUAGAGGUUGCUAUUUGGAUUGGUUUGAGAGGAAACAAAAAGGAUAGAGAUGCAUUAAUUAGGUGACAAGUGUCACUUGGCUAUUGGAUUGAACUUUUGACUACUAUUCCAUGUCUUACCAUUUGACUUAAUAAACUAAAACUUUACCAAAAAUUACUCCAUUUGCAAGCUCAAAGGGCCGGCUCUCUCAAGCAAGGAAAGAAAGAAAACCUCUUCAAUUUCUUGAUUCCCUCUUGCUCAAAUCCAAUCACUCAACCAUCUACUCUUAUUUUUGUUCCAUAGAAACCCUUAAGGGAGUGGUUGUGAGUUGUUUUGUGGAGUUAUUUGGAAAGCUAAAGUGGUUAAUUGCUCUCUCUCUUGUUUUACCAAGGUGAGUGGUCAAGGACUCCUUUCCUCCCUCUAAUAAUGUUUAAUUCAUGCUUGGUGAUAGUAUGAGAUGCAAGUUUAUGGAUUAAUCUUGAUUUUUGGUUGAAUUGGUGAAGUUUUAUAAUUAUUGGUGACUUUUCUGAUUUAAUAUGAAUAUGAUUAUGUGGGCAUGUAUGAUGAUUGGAAUUGGUAUGUAAUGAAGCUAGGAGGUGGAAAAAGUGGUUAAUUGUAAGAAAUUUCUGUUUUGGAAGAAAAUUGAAAAACUAGGGUUUCAAAGUUAUACAUUCUGCCCGGUUUUGUAACUCAUGGUUAGAGGCCGAAUUGGUUUUGGGUUAAAACAUGAAAGUUGUAGGGAAUGCUAUUUUAGGGGUGCCUACAAAAUUUCAGGUCAAUCGGAGUAGCGUAGCUUGAGAAAAGUCGAAAUUACCCUUGCUGUCCUGGUUUUACCCGAAUUUGAGAAUUGCGUCUGUAAUUGGUUAUUUUGGUUAGGAAUGCUUCAGAAUUGGUUGUUGAGGUCUUCUGAUAAAAUGUAUCCCUAUUUCUAAGCUUUCGGAUGGCUUUGGAAUUACUGGAUUUGGACUUAGGUAGCUUGUUUUAUGAUGUUUACACCAGAAUGCGUUUUGUGAAUCUGUUUUUCCGGUUCUGGUGUAGUAUCUUGCAUUUUUGACCUUGUUACACUCGAAACUGGACAGAGUUGCCUUCUGGAACAUUGUAGCCCUAUCUCUUAGCUUCGAAACGGUAGGUCUUGCACCUUCAUCUGAUAAUCGUAGUGCCUUUGGUGCCAUUACCGCAAGAUGAUGUCAAAAACUGUUUUUUUGGUUUAAAGUUUAACUUUCAUUUCCGGACUUUUCCCUAGCUUGAAUUGUACCUGUACUACUUGGAGCUUACUGAAUGACUAUUGAAUGAACUUAUUUUGUGUGUGCCUUUGGGAGUGAUUGAGGAAAACAAAAGAAGCCUUGAUGGCUGGAAAAGUAAAGAGAGACAAGGGGAAGUGCUGUCCAAAUGUUUGCAAGAGCUUCUGCGCAGUCUCGGGAGAUUUGCUAUAUCUUGAUGUAGAAAUGUUGGAAUUAAGUUCCGUUUGUUGCGUUUUAAACUAGAUUCAUAGGGCUAUAAACCAUGAAAAUCUCAGAUCCUGUUUCUAUUUUUCCAAUUUAUGGUGAUUUUUCAAAGUUGACUAAAAUCUUGUACCUGUUCUGUCCUCCACUGGAUAAAGCAAUAACUUGCGGCUUGAAUUCGACUGACUUACAUUCUAAGUCUUACAAUAGUGUUUUCUGGAAAGUUAUAGCCUUUUGAAUUUAUUUUCCAACGGUAUAACUUUUAUUAAUUUUGGACUUACAAAACUUGAGAUAUGAUUUUUCAUAUAAGGUCGCGCGGAACUGGAAAAAUUCUGUUUUCCUAGUAUUGAUCUUGCUUUCAUUAUCUACUUCAAAUUUGGAUUUGGUCAGUCAUUGUAGGAAGGGCUUUGAGGUUGUUCAUACUUUUAAGACUAAUUGUUACCUUUUCACUCCGAGGUCGCCUCUUUACUUUGCAUUAAUGGUUCGUUUGACUAGGCAUAUGGCUCGUAACCGAGUCUCACUUGCGAAUUCCAUACUCAGUCUUGGAGUCGAGUCUUAAGUGUUUGCCUUGAUUGUUCUAGGAGGUAACGACGAGUGAAGCCACACUUGGGAAGGAAACUUUUGAAAUUAUCCUUGUUUAAUCAGGUGAGUGUACCACUCCCCUGAGUUAUUGUUAAACUGGUUUUCUGUACUUGCAACUUGCUACUUGAAUAUCUUUCCUGACCGUUUAUCUUGUAUGAGACGAGGGUGUACUUUAUCACACUCGUUUGCUUGCCUGUACUGAACAAACUGGAAUCUGUUACUUGUACUUGUUAUGUACUUGAAUUUGUUACUUGCACUUGUUAUUCGAUCGUUUGAAAGUGUGUCCACGAUCGUCCUGUUAAACUUGAUCGUCCUGUUAAACCUGAGCUCAACCUCAUGGGGAGUUAAUUAAAUCGAGCCAUGCAAGGGUCUGGUCGAGAAAAUUGACAAUCCGUGGGUGCCUGUUUUUAUGGAAUCUUUGAGUAUUGAGACUCUUGAUUACGGUAUACUCGAGUAUUACCAUUCCUGUUUUAUUUGGCGUUCGGGCCCGGUAAGGGGUAUGAAUGGUGAACGGGAUUCGGCGUUAAAGCGGUGUUCUACUGGAUUGGUUUUCUUUAGUUGGAAGUUGAUGGAGGGUCAACGUAGUCGGAUCAAGUACUGCAACGGGAAAUUGGCUCCUGAGAGCCAUCUGUAUCCUUUCUGUCUAAGUUGUUUAUAUAUCUCCUUAUUUGGUACACCUAUGUGAUUAAUUGAGCAUGAAAUUCCUUGGUUCUUGACUGUUAUUAUUUUUGGUACCUCAUUGAGCUUAUAGCUCACCCCGUUUUGUUAUCCUUGUUUUCCUUACAGAAAAAUCUUUUGGGAACAAUGAUGUUUGGAAGCAUGAGUUGAGCUAGAUAUAUAUUCUUUUGUAUAGCUCCUCAAGAGAUAUAAACCUUGAAUGUAUUUCGAUCCAACAACUCCCUUUUUUAUUUGUAAAUUUGCAAUCAUGUAUUUAUAUAUAUAUAUAUAUAUAUAUAUAUAUAUAUAUAUAUAUAUAUAUAUAAGUGUUUAAUCAUGUACAUGGGUUACCCCGAUCAAACGUGUUCAUUCUUUACACCUACAUGGAGUUUAAUGAAAUUACUGAGAUUUUGGACGAGUAUAGUAUUCAAGUGCGAAAAGAAAAAAAAAAUCUAGCAGGGAUUUCGACAAUAUUAUGGGUUGGUAAGUUACAUUUAACUUGGAGGUUUCCCAAUCGUUCGUUUUCUUUGGUUUCUUUCACGCGUGCUACAGAAGUGGGAGUGAUUCGACCCCGUAGUCCCGGCGAGAGUUGGGCAGGCGGUCCGCCGAACCCUUUGGUUCGGCUUAGGGGGAGGUGGGGCUAUCACAACUUUCAUAGUUGCGAAUUUCUUCAAUUAACAGUUAGUUAUUACUAUCAAUGAUGUGGUAAGUGUCAGUAAUAAAUGUGAGACGUGAAUUGAAAUUUACAGAUAUCAUUUUACAGGGGUGGUUAUUAUCUGUUAAUUAAAGUUUAGGAGUUUUAAUUUUAUGGAUUAGUGGGGAAAACUUGGGGAAAAUGUGGGGGAAAUGUGAGGAAAACGUGAGUAUGAUUAUAGGAUUUGUGGGAGUGAUUAUAGAAUUUGUUAAGAGAUAAACAUUUCUUAAUUAUAAAAAUAUAAAAUUCUAUUAAAAUAGCAUUCAGACUUUUGACAAUUUUGAAAGCUCCUUAUCCAAAACCCCCUCUGCAAUACAUAUAGAUAUAGAUGUGUAUUAUACGAAAUGAAAAAAGAACUCACUAGAGAGGAACCAAAUCCAUCUAAAAUUAUGUCAGCAAAUUCUAUCAUAUUUUGUAUUGUAGAUUCACAAUUAGAUGAUUAAUCAUUUUUAUAGUUGAGAAGGGCCAAUCUGACAUCGUCUUACAAAUUUGUUCAUUUUUCGUUAGGUAAGACUUGCAGCUUGCGCGCGUCCUAGUUUUUGCAAGGAGAACCACGUUGUUGUUAUUUGUUACCCUUACUUUCUCAUUUGGUUAAAGUUAACUAAGCCUUUGAUAGCAUGUGUGAUGAAAGUGGGGCAUGACUUGAAAAGAUUAUUAACUAACGGUUAAUAUCCUUAACCUAUAAAAGACUAAUUGAGACAUGCUUUUCUGUAAAAAAUCAUAAUCGCAACUUUUGGAAGUUCUGUAAAGAGGAUAACAUACUCAUUUAUAGUCUUAAUAUACUAGCACAAAGUGUUAUCAAGUAGUAGUAAAGAGAAUUUGUCCAUUGAUUCGCAAUAAAUAGACGGCGAAUUUACCCUAAAGAGAAGCGAAAAUAGAUUACGAGUUCAAGUCCAUUCUCAUCAAUUUAUCACAAUUAUUCAGAACAAAUCAUAGUUGAAACAAGUGAUGAAAUUUGGACCUUACAAGAUCAAUACAAUGUGGGUUGAGGUGAGAGGGAGUCCAAAAUGUCCCACAAACAUUAAAUGAGUCACUUUGCAGCUUGAGAGGAGCUUAUGGGCCUACGUAUCGUCCCUUAAAGCCCUGUUUUUCAGGACGCUGUUGAACCCCUUUUUCUGUUUGUUUUGAUAGUUUUAAUAUUUAAUCAUUUAUGUGUUUCUUUUGUUUUAGGCCUGAUGUUGGCAAAAUGUGAUUCCUGUUUUAUUCAAUUAAAUUUCAUUCAUGGUUUUAGAAAAAGAGAGAUUACUUUUUUCGUUCUUCCAUCACGAAGAAUUCAGUUAGUUGUUCUUUUUUUUAACCAUGGAAAUCUCCAAAUCUCUUUUUUUUUUCUUUUGAUUAUACGUUAAUUAACCCAAAAUUCAUUGUACUAGUUGUCUAGGUUCACUUGAGACAGAGUACAAAUAAAGGCAUUGACCUAUUGUACAAUUGUAAAAUGGGAUAAUUUCAGAAACCUCCCCUGAGGUUUCUGACAGUCUCACUCUUCUCCCCUGAACUUUGCAAAAUAUCAGAUAUCUCCCUUGUCAGAUUAUUGGGCCUUAUUUGUGAUAUCAUUGGUGAUGAAUUGACAGAUAUACCCUCAUAACUUAUGAUAUAUUUUGAAGCUAUUUUGACAGAAUUAUUUAAAUGAGUAAUAGAGAUAUAACUUAUGAUAUACCUUCUAUUCCACUUUACAUUUUUUAUUCGUAGUACAAUCACCAAUGAAGAGUUUAGCACUAGUGUUAACUUUUUCUAAAGUCAUGUAUUUCAUUUUUUUUUGUAAGACAAUUAUCUAGUGUACCUCAUUACUUAUAUUUGGGUAAAUUUGGUUUUCAAAAAAUCAAUGACGUAAAUUGUACAUUACAUCAUCUCAUAAAGUAAUGCGACACAAUUUGGAUUAUUGAAUUUUUUGAAAAUCGAAUCUACCUAAGUUCUGGUAUUCAAACGAAGCUUGUUGAAUAAAUUCGACUAACUACAGUGUGAAUUAAUUUUUUUUUAAAUCUCAACUAAAGUAUCUAGCACUAAAUGAAAUGAAGUAUCUUGCUAGUUCAUUUCAUUUUCCACAGAGAAAAUCGCAAAAAGAAUUAUUAAACUAUUGAGAAUUUGGUUAUUUGAUCGUUACACUAUUUAUUUAACUGCAAUUGCCAUUCACUCAAUUAACCAAAUAGUGAAAAAAUUUUUGUGACUUAACUAGUAAAGAUUUAUACUUUUAGUCACUCAAAUAAUAUUUUUUAUGACUUAACUAAUAAAAAUUUGUACUUUUAAUCACUCAAAUUAUAAAACUAUACAUUUUUUUAUAUCACCAGAAGUAUGUUUCAAUUAAUUGAAUGAUCAUAUUAGCUAAAUAAAUGUCUAAUAGCUAAAACAAAAAAAUAUAAAUAGCAUUGUAACAUUGCUUGAAGAAGCCAUCUGCAUUUGUCUCUAUUUGGUUCAACUUAUUACUUCUUUUUUUUUUUUUUUGCUUUUGCUUUAGCUCAAGUUGUGGAUAAGCAAAAAGGGCAUAUGCGGAACACAAAUAUCAUCUCACUCCUCAAAAUAUUUUUUUAAUGCUCAUUUUUCUGACAUGGGCUCAUCUUGUUACUCCAACUAUAAGUUCAGGGGAGGUAUCUGAUAUUUUGCAAAGUUUAGGGGAGGUGAGUGAGACUGUCAGAAACCUCAAGGGAGGCUUCUGAAAUUAUCCCUUGUAAAAUUUAUACACAUUUUCUCUCCAAUUUGGGUAAUUUAUCCCUAGCUCUAUAUAUCAUCUAAAACAUAUGGUGUGGAAUUCAAAAAUGGAAAAUUAAAUAUUCGUACAAACAUAUCACCUUUAAAGCUCUUUGGGGAAUCAAUAAUUUUACUAAUGCCCUUUCCAGCAGUUGUCUCAAGCAGCCGAAAACCAAAUUGCAGACAUCCUUCUUAAACGAACUUAAGUCCCAUACUUUCAUUCUUUGCAAAAAUUCUCCAAUUUGAAGAAGUAAAAUAUGAUUCUGAAAAUUUAGCAAAUCUCAAAAUUGGAUAUCCUAAAUCCAAACCUAAGAAAAUGGAGUACUAAUUCUAUCCUGAUUAAGCCACGUAAUGCCUUUUGCAAUCCCCAUUACAAUUUUUACCGUAAACCUGUUUUGGGCAGAAAAGAAAGUGUUGUUAUUACUUUACCCCCUUAAACUAUAUUACUACUAUCAGUUUACCCCCUAAUGUUAUUUUUUAGUUACUUCACCCGCAUAAGUAAUUCAACUUAACAUGUUAAGAAAAUUUGGAUAAAAAUACCCUUUUAUUCUGUAGCAUUACUACAUUGUUAUUGUUACUUUAUUCCUUUAAAUUAUAGUAAUAUAAUUGCUUUAAUUCUUAACAUUAUUUCUAGGUAUUUUACUUCAUCGUUAAUCUAACUAGUAUGGUAAAAAUUAGAUUUUGCAAAGAAAAAAUAAAGAAAAGUCUAAUAUUAUUGUAUUAAUUUAAGAUUAUUGGGAUUAGAAUUGAAAUCUGGUGGUAAACAGUAAAGUGAAAUAAUUUUAAAAUAAUAAAAGUAUUUAAUUCUUUCUUAUUUGUAAUUUUUUUUAAAAAAAAAGAAUUGAGCUCUCUUUCAAUCUCUCUCUCCCUCUCUCCCUCCCCCUCACCAUCUUUUUUUUAAUAUUAAUAAGAUUGUCAAGAAGAAAGAAAUUAAUACUUUGACUUUUUUCUUGAUACUAAAAAGGAGAAGAGUCACUCUAAAUUUUUUAUUAUUUUUAUUAUACAAAGAGAAGAGUACUUUCUUCUAAAGUUUUUUAACUUGCUAAGUUGGUUUAAUGGUGGGAUAAAUUAUCUAAAAAAUAAUUUUAUGGGUAAAUUGAUAAUUAGACCAUAGUUUAUGGGGGUAAAGUGAUAAUAACUUUAAGAGUAAACUUGUCUUUUCACUUUAAUUAACAAACUCCGUUAAGUUGGACGGUUAGUUUUGGGGGUAAAGUGACUAAAAGAUAACGUUAAGGGGGAAAUUGAUAAUGACAUCUAACGUUAAGGGAGUAAAGUAAUAAUAACCCGAAAAGAAAUGAUCAUAGCGGUUUCCAAAUUGGGCUAUCAUAUUCUUCCAAGAAUCAUGAGUUCAAACAUAAAUUGUUAAUCAAUGCUAUCAAAAUGAUGGAGUUUGAACCUCAAAUAGAAAAAAAAAAAAGAAAGAUAACAAAGUUCCUUGAUGGCAAAUUGACACAUGUUUGAAAAGAAAUAGCACACAACCAUCAUUAAAUUCAGAAAAAUGAAAUUACACAAAAUAGGCCAACAGCAAAAUAUCAGAAUAAUCUCAUUGAUUGUUUCCACCAUAUUUUGACAAGAAAAGAGCCAUCGAUCCUUUCAACUUUUACCUCAAUUUUCCACAAAAGCACCAAAGAAAGCCAGACCACGCAGAUGACCAAUUACAAUCUCAAGAGGAAAAACCAACCGAAGCACUCCCUGAUGAUAUCAUCAAGAAAAAAACAGAGCAAUAACUAGUUGUUUGCUCAUCAAUUUCAAUGUGCUCGUGCAUGCAUUACAGGCAAUUGAAGUCCAAAAAAGCUACCAAAAGAAGCUACAAGCCAAUUAACAGUAAUGACAAAAAAAAAAAUUACCAGAUAUUGAACCAGCUGAUGCCCUUCAAUCUAUGAUGAUGAUCUUCAGAUUCUCAUUUCCAUAAUUUUUUUGUGCUUCUUCAAUUUCCCGUGCCAAAGAUUUGACACCAUCUACACAACGUAGCACUCUAAUUGUUUCAAGAGUUGAUAUACGGCCUAAACAAGCAGGCACCAUUUCCAAAUUAGAAAUUCCGUAGAGAUUUAAUUGCUGAAGGCACGGGAAGUAAUCAUCACUGUCAGGGUCUGUCUGUGCCCACUCCAUAACCUUUACAUCUUCUAAUGUCAAGACCUUGAGUUUAGGGAAUCCUCCUUCCAUCAGCUCCCAUUUUUGGCCCUCCAUUGACCACUGUCUUAAUUUGAGGACUUCAAGAUUGGGUAGUUGUUCAAUCAAUGACAUUUUUCUACAGGGAAGACCCAGAUUGAAAAGACACAACUUCUUCAAAUUCAUGGGAAAAGAAAGCUCCACAUAUUCCAGCGAAUCAAAGGAGCCGUGGCCAUCUAAGGUGAGUGAUUCUAGGCAUACUAGUCGACUCAUGUUGCAGCAUACUCUAUUUUGUUGCCGCACAUAUAAAAUUUUAAGUCGGCGAACGUUGAGAAUCCUUCUCAAUAUGUUCUCAAUGUCACGAUAAAGAAACAGAGUAGAGAGUGUGUCUAAAUUGGGUAAAGUAGAGAGGUUUUCAACAACAUUGUCGUUGGAAGACAGACGAAUAUCAAAAACGGGUCUUACAUGUACAUGCAUCAACUUCUUCAUGUUCCAGAUGCUAUCUGGCAAUGAAACAACCGCUGUAGAAUCCAGACAGAAGGUUUCCAAAUGUGAGAGCUUGGCUAUAGAUGGUGGAAUGAAUUUCAUGCGCUCUGCUUCAAGGGCUAAGUACCUUAAACAAAGAAGUGAUUCGACUUCAGUUGGAAGCUCUUUCAGCCUUAGGUUAAUGCCCUCUAACUUCAGAACUUUAAGAUGUUUGUAGAUGUAAAAAAGGAAGGAGAUGUUAUGGAACUGAAACUCAUUAUAUCCUGGAGUACCAUCAACGAAUAGAGUACCUAAAUAUGGGCAAAAUAGCUUUGACUUCCUAAAAUCUUCUCCACUGGAGCAAAUGGACAACCGAGGUAGGUUGGGAGGCUCAUUAAAGGUAGAAAGCUCAUCAUAUCCUCGCAAAACCUGAAGAAAAUUCUUUUCUUUCGCCUCGCCCUUACAGAACUCAAAUAUCAAAUCGUGAAUGUAACAAGUUUUGACUCCACCAAUGGAUCUGCUUUUACUUACCAUAACUAAGUUUCGACCAAUAAGGUCCAUCAGAUAUUCUUCUGCAAUGCCCUCUGAUCUCUUUCCUUCAAUUUUUUCCACAAACCCUUCUGCAAUCCAGAGACGCAUCAAAUUCUCCGCACUAAUUUUUUCAUCUUCUCGAAAUGCAGCAAAAUACAGCAGGCAUGCCUUCAAGUGAUAUGGUAAAUGCUCAUAACUGAGCUCCAACGACUUCUUGCACUGGUCUGUACCAGACACCAUGGUUAAAGUUAAACUUUUAGCAAAUUUUUCCCAAACCCAAAUAUCAUGCUCUAUAGUUGCUAGGACCCCAGCUACAACAACGAGUGCAAGUGGCAAUCCCCUGCACUUUUCGGCAAUCUCCAUUCCCAACCCAUGCAAUGCUUGAGGACAAUCUUCUUUUCCAAAAACCUUCUUCUGCAGUAAUUCAAAACUUUCUUUCUCACCGAGCGGGCGAAGAUAGUGAGGUUUCCCCCCAUAUUCAACCUGUGAAGCCACAUUAGAAAAUCGGCUCGUGAAGAUGAUUUUACUUCCUUUCUUGUCAUCCGGGAAUGAAAUUCUCAGCUCAUUCCAUACCUUAAUGUCCCAGACAUCAUCAAAAACAACAAGAUACCGAUUCUCCUUUAGCUUUUUGUAGAGCUUUUCAAGCAGCGCAUGUUCAUCCAGAUUUUGAAACUCAUCAUCCAUCCUGGAAUGUUUGCCUUCAGAGCACAAAAUUUGAAGUAACACAUUUUUCAUGUUAUAGGCUUGAGAAACAGUACACCAAAGACGAAUGUGGAAGUUACAGAUUACUGAACUAUCAUUGUAAACUUUUUGGGCUAAAGUUGUCUUACCAAGCCCAGCCAUUCCCACAAUGGGAACAAUUUCCACAUGUUCUGGUCCCCAUAUAAGUCGUUCAAUUACUUCUCCUGCCUCAUCAUCAAGACCAACCAUGACUUCAUGGGCUAUUGGCAUUUUACCUUUUGAUAGCAUGUGGCUGGAAGUCUUGCUAACUUCUGGCGCUCUUAAGCUAUGAAAGGAAGGAAGACUUUCAAUAAUGCUUGAGCCACUGAUCUGAUCCUUAAAAUGCUUGAUAUGGAUGUUGGUAUUAGCCAGCAUAUCAUAACAGUCAAGGGCCUCUGUGGAUUCUGAGAAUCUAACUUCUCCUUCCUUCACUCCGUUUAGAGAGGGCGAGCAAAUUAUAAUGCCUGCCUCACUAAGAAGAGCACCAAUUUUUUCGUUUUGCUCAUCCAUCUUCUCCUGCAGCUCCCUUAAAAUGCUUCUCAAAAACCUCAGUCCUGCAUAGAGUAUUCGCAUUUCAUCUUUCAUAGAAUCCACAAAGCUAGAGCUGCAGCAUAACAGCUCCCAGAGACAACUUAUCAGAGAAUCAUUGAAGUUGUUCAAUAUCUGCUUAUCCAUCAUUCUAUCAUGCAAUGAUUUUGAGGACCUUGUAGCUCUAAGAACUUCCAUGUGAAUCCCAAAGACUUGAAAAUCAACAGCUGUGAUUUUCUGUUGUUGCUCAUAUAUCAUGGAGCAGAACUCAGGAUUGUGCCGUUCCUCAUCAUCCCAAAAAGAACACAUGUAAGAGAGGCGUGCUGCGUUCAAAGCCAUCACUUCAAAGUGAGCCAAUAGCAAAGCAGGAAUAUCUGCAGUUCCUCGCAAUUUGGCAAAGGGUAUGAAGCUUUUCAAGAAUGUUAGCUUUUCUUCAAGGGCUUGGAAUUGAGCAAUAACUUGGGGAUCCAUAUCAAAAAUACACAAAUCGCUAGUUGUUAAAUCCGCUAGAUUUUGUAGAAUAAGGUCGAUAAAUUCUAUUAGUUCAUCAGCUGGCAUGCAAGAAUUUGAUUCCAAUGAUCUGCUGCUCGCCAAAGUGAAGUAAACUUGGAUGAUUUCUUGCUUAAAUGAUUUGAUUUGUUUCAACAAUUUGGGGAACACUUCAUUGCCAACAUAACGUACGUCACGUGCAUCAGAUUUCAACACAAGGAAAAGAGAGUGAACGGUAUCUUCAAUGCAAGAUAAGAAAGAUGGAAGACUCACCUUCUUCACUACAUUAUCAGAUUCCAAGUACAAAUCAUUGCAGUGGCUCCACUUUCUUGCACAGAUAACAAAUGUUUUGAGAAAUUUCAUGCGUUUGAUUGCAUCACGAACACGAUCAAGUAAGACCCGAUCAUGGUAAGGAUCAUCCCGGCUUCGGAAGCUGUUCAGGAGCAACUCUAGAUCAAGUAAGACCCGAUCGAUGCUGCAAGUGGAGACCAUCUCCAUCUCUUAUGCAGGGAUUUUGGUCUCAAAUUUUAAGAGAGAAGCAAAUCUCACUAAUUGCAGAGCCAGCAAGUAUUUCUUUCCUGAGAAUUACUUCUUUGCUUUUCUUCUUCUGAAGAGUAUUGAGACAAUCAAUUAUUGGCAACAAGGUGGAAUCGGCAUCGAGGUGGACCCGAGACACUGAUACUACUACAACUAGGGAGUUGGGCAUCUGAGGAUUUAAAAGAUACUACAAUUUUGUCAUUUUAGCAAAAGUUAGUGUGAAAAUAAAUCGUGGGUCAUUAGCAAUAUUAUUUGCUCAUGUCUAAUUACAAAAGGAAGUUGAUAAAAUUAGUUGACUCUGUUGUCAACAUUUUAAUGGGGAAAUUUGGUAUGGCAAUCUCUCAUGAUUACAGAGAAAUGCAUUAUUGGAACAUUUUCUAAUGUUGUCUAAAUCCGCUAGAUUUUGUAGAAUGCGGUCUAUAAAUUCCAUUAGUUCAUCAACUGGCAUGCAAGAAAUUGAUUCCAAUGAUCUGCUACUUGCCAAAGUAAAGUAAACUUGCACACAUAACAAAUGUUCUGAGAAAUGUUAUAACGAGAGAGAGCGGUCAAAAAAAGAUGUGUAACUAAACCCACACUAGUUGCUCAUCCCUUCCAUCACACCCCUAUAUAUAUAUAUAUAUAUAUAUAUAUAGUGUCAAAAUGACAUACGUUGUCCUGCGUGGUGAAAUCUUCAAGCUAACUCUCUAAUUUUCUUUCUCGAGCAAACCUCUAAAUUUGAUCACUUUCUCUUCUAAUGUUCUCGUGUUAAUAAUCAUGACCAUUGAUCUGGGAGAUUAAUAACCAUGACCAACAAAGUAAAGAGUCCGAGAAAAAAAAAUUGAGGCUUCUUCAACCCUCGAGAUUGUGGAAAUAGAAAAUUUGGAAUUUCAACAAUUACCAGUAUCAUAAUAAAUACGCAUUAUCAUAAUAAAUAUAAACGCUAAGAUAAUAAAUAUAAACAGUAAAACGAUAAUGUACAAAAUUAAUGUUACCGGAGUGCAUUAGUGUUACCAAUAUACAAUCGUCAAAGAAAAUGACUAAGGAAGUAGAUGAGGAAUUAUGAGAGUUAGCACGGCGGCUAAUCAAUGCGGAUUUCAGUAUAGAAUCAGGAAACUUAAAAACGAAAUGUAAUUGUUUAAGGAUGCAGAAAUGUAUAGUCCUGCAUGGGCUAGUUUUGUGCUUAAACAGAUGUCUAGCUGUUCAGGAAAGGUGAUUGGUUCGUGUUUAUAUGCUAGAAUAUAAGUGCUGGAAAGAUAUUUGUCAUGUUUUAUAUAUACGCUUCAGCAGAAAGUUUUUUGGAGCUUAGUAUAGCAAUAUUUUUUUUUAAAGCUUAGUACAGCUUAGAGUCAGCCGAAAGCAAUUAAAUUUUAUACCACACGAACAUUGGCAAAGAUGCUUUAACCUAACCCUCCUGAAUAAUUAAUGAGCAAGUUCAAUGAUUAUGUCCCACAAGAUUGGCAGAUCUUUAAACUAAAAUUUAAUUGACACAGGGGGAUGGGCAGGGACAGCCGCCCUGCAAAAGUUUUCAGAAUUUUAAAAUCCUUCCUAUAAUUCUAGUUGUCAACUAAAAUUAUAUUAUUUUGGCUCUCCUAAAUAUAAUUAUAAGUAAAUUUUAUUUGUUAUUUUGUUUAAUUUCUUUUGAUAAAGGGUCCUAUACCAAACUAACAAUUAACUUCCUUAAAAAUGUAUAUGAUUGGUAUGUACUUACCGUACGAUUAGUAUUACUUUGAAUAAUAAUUCCUGUUUGGAUUGCUAUUUCUAAGAGUUUUUGUAGAAAAAAAAUAUAUUAUAACAAUUUGAUGUAUGUGAGGUAAAAAAGUGAUUGAAAAAUAUAUUCAUGAAAAACGUAAAAAUUUUUCUGUGAAAAAUCACAAUCCAAACUUUUUUAACCAAAUUUCUUAUAACGAACGUACUAUUAGUUUGUUUGAUUACUAUAACUUUAAAAUAGCAACAAAGAUAACAAUGUACACGUUACAUAGGAAAUCAAAGGAAAAAAAAUUCAACUAUCCUAUAAAUUGAAGAAGUUCAACUAUGAUUAUGAAUGCGUCACAUUCAUAGUAAAUAUAACAGUGUAGAGUCUAAUUUUUAUAUUUUCCUUUAUAUUUUGUCUUUAUGUUUUAUAAAUUUCUUACUCCUAAUUAUAAUUUAUUGAACUCUCAUUUUACAUUUAGUAUUUUUUAUUUGCUACUGCAACGGGCUCUUGGAGGCAUAUGUAAGUGGUGGGCUCACUGCUUGUGAACAAUUUUUAUUUUUUUUUUCCAAAGUGAAAAAGAGAGCUACAUAAAUUAAAUUACAAAUGAGUCAGACUCAAUCAUUUUAGGAAAUUUAAUGCUUCUUACAUCUUCCACACAAAUAUUCCCAAAUAGAUUAGGUGGUUCUACAUGCAAAGCAAACUCUUCCAAUUGGUUAUAUCCUAGAUUUGCCUUGAAGACCGUAGUCCUCUUUGCCUAUAUGUAGAUAUGCUUAAAUGUGACCAACUGAAUUUGGCAGAGUAAAACUCUCCGCCAAUCACAACGCUAGGCCCCAAAUGAAGAUAUUCAGCGGCAACAGUAACAGAGAAAUUGAUUAGAUUUUUGCGUCUAGAAUCCUUUGCAUGAUAAAGUCAAGGAGUACGAAUGAUAAAAUAGGGAAAUCCCAAGUGCUAGAGCUAGUGUUAGAAAACACCUCCUUCACUAAAAUGUUAUCUUCUCCUAGAGACAGGGGUCCAUGAAUGAUGUUAUGAAAAAAGGAUGACCUAAAAAACAAUUUUUUAUAGUACUACCACAUCAUAAUACUAUACCUCAUAAAAAUAUAAAUUUAAAAAAUAAAAAAAAUUGAAAAGAAAUACACUUGCAUCAAUUUAACUCUAUUUGUUCAAAACUGGUUUCUUAUGAAUUUAUAUUGUUUCCAACAUACCUUUGCUCAAACCAUUAAAUUGUACCAAUCAAUAUAAAAAUCAUCUCAAAAUAAGCAAAUAAAUCAUACCCCACUUUAUCAUAGUCACAAAAGUAAAAGAUAAACAUAAUUCAAUUUAUUAUAAUUUACAAAUAAAAUAUUGCAUAGUCAUCCAAAAAAUGAGUAAGAGAGAAUGAUGGAAAAAGGGAAAAAGAAGAAAGUGACUUUUGUUUCUUUUUUUAAAAAUUUUUGAGUUCCAUUUAUUUGAUAUGUUGUAAAUUAUAUGUCAAGUGAGGGUUAUUAUAAUCUUUUCACAAUUACUAGGAGAGAUAAGUGACAUUUCUAAAACCUCAAGCGUGCCAGGUAAUAUUAAGAGAAAUCUUAGAGGAGGUUUCUGAUAUUAUCCCAUUAUUUCGCUAAUUUCCUUUCCAGCAAUUAACUCAAGAAACAGAACACCAAAGUUGUAGACACCCUUCUUAAUCGCGCGGUCUCAUUUGUCCAAGAGUCAUGAGCUCAAACAUAAAUUGUUAAUCAAUCGUGUCAAAAUGAUGGAGUUUCAAAAAAGCUAAGAGCUUCUUGCCUUGGUGUUGGUGUAUUUUAAUAAAAUCUUAAUUUUUGGAUAAAUCUUUUCAAGGAGUUACAAUAGUAUUCAUUGGUGAGUUAUGUAAAUUGUUAUUGUGGGAGUUACAUUGCAUUUUGAAUGGAGUUAUAAUUGUGAGUUACUUUUUUGAAUAAGAGUUACAAAAGAAUUAUUUGGUAUUGUGGGAGUUACAAAAGAAUUUUGAAUAAGACAUUAUGUAUUAUUGUGGGGGUUACAAAAAGAUUAUUUGAAUAACUGUUACACAUUAGUUUUUCUUUUACUUAAGAUUUUGUAGCCUAUAAAUAGUGGAGUUCUCAAAAGGUUUUGAAACACUUCUUCUCACAACAAAAAAUCACUCUAAAAUACUAUCCUCCUCACAUUUAUUUCUUUCUCCUUCAUUCUGUUUUCUUUGGGCAAAGAAGGAUAUUGGGAAGCUUCUGCUUCUCUUGGUUGUGCAGAUCAAAGAGAAGUAACAACUAUAGAGUUGGGCUGUUGUAUCCUGGAGGCGGCGCGCUAGACCUUCUGCAUCGGUUUGAAAAGCACCGUAGGGGCGCGUAUCGUCUUAAAGAGAGCGUUCUACGCGCCUCAGCCCUACCGAACUUCUUAGUAGCUGUCAAUUCCAAGGUGGUUAUUUUUUGAAGAUCAGAGAUUGUUCGUGUACUCUCUUCCAACACUUGGUACAAAUUCCCUAUUUUCCAAGUACCAAUGCUACAAAUUGACACAUUUUUGAAAAGAAAAAGCACACAACAAUCACUAAAUUCAGCAACACAAAAAUUACGCAAGAUUCACACACAAAUUUGAAAACAAGUCAUAAUUUUUAAGCCUUUAUGCUGCCGUGCAGAUUGAUAAAAUGGUGCACGGUGUAUGAACCUCAUUGAUCGUUUCCGCUGUAUCUUGACAAGAAGAAUCGAUCCUUUUAACUUUUAUCUCAAUCUUCCACAAAAGUACCAAAGAAAGUCAGAACACACAAAUGACCAAUUACAAAAUCUCAAGAGGAAAAGCUACCGUAGCACUCCCUAAUGAUAUCAUCAAGAAAAAAUAGAGCAAUAAUUAGUUGUUUGUUCAUCGAUUCCAGAUAAUGAUAAUACUACAACUAGGUGUUGGGCAUCUGAGGAUUUAAAAGAUACUACAAUUUUGUCAUUUUAGCAAAAGUUAGUGUGGAAAUAAAUCGCGGGUCAUGGCAAUAUUAUUUGACCAUGUCUCUCACACAUAUUAUGAGAAUGCAUUAAGAAAUUUGCUUCACCCAAAAUCCAAAUUUAUCUUGCAAGAGGAAGUUGAUCAAAUUAAUUGACUCUGUUAUCAAAAUUUUAAUGGACAAUCUCUCAUGAUUACAGAGAAAUCUGUAUUAGUUCCCCUAGUCAUUACAAGUAACAGAGCAAGAAACAGAACAUCAGUAAAGUAAAAGACAAAAUGUUGGAAUUAUCAUAAAGUAAUCUUAUGUUUAGAAGAGUAAAGAAGUUUUCAUUAAUAAUUUUAGUUACAAUAACAUCAAAAAUUAUUAUUUUUGGACUAUUUCAUAUGUGGAUUGGAGUUGAGAAGGACUACUCCGGCACUGUCCAUUAUAGGUGGCAAACAAACCUAUUUAACUAAAUUUAUCCAUACUUAUCCAUGAAUAAAUGAAUAUGGAUAUCUUAAGUUUUUGCAUAUGCGUAUAAAAUGGAUUACCCAAUAAUACCCAACCCAUCAAAUUCAAUUAAUCCAUUUAGAAUUGUCUUCCCUCAAAUAUCCUUUCUUCCCCACCCAUUUUUUUUAGAUUCUUCAUUUUAUCAUAAUGUUAACUACUUUUACCUUAUCCUGUUCUUUUCUCGUAGUUUCUUAACUUACUCAUUUUUUAGUAUUACCAAUUUAUGACAAGUUUUAGCAUCUUUUCCUACCUUUCCAAAAUGAAAUUUUAAAUUUCCACAUGCAAAAAAUGCUAGGGGUUCAAAGUUUUUGGAUUAAGUUUUUAUGUUAACUUUCAUAGUACUUAGUUCAAAAUUUUAUAUUCUUAUCGUUCAAUUAUUAAAUAGUAUGUAAUUUUGCGACAUAGAGUACGAAUGAAAAAAAAUUGGUAAUUAAGCUAAUUAAGCAUUAUAAGUAAAUAUUUAAAACUAAAGAUAGGUGCAAAUGGGGGUAUAAAUUGAUAACUUAGUUUGCAAAAAUAAAUUUAAAUGAGUUUACAAAAAGUUAAAAUAAAUGGGUAAUUGGGUCACCCAACUCAUUUUUCGACUUAUAUAUUUAUACUCAUCUAAUUAAAUAGGUAUAAAUGAAUUGACUCACUUAUAUCCAUUACCUAUUUUAACCAACCAAAACCAGCUCAAGUCACUCAUUUUGACAUCUCUAUUGUCCAUUAAGAAGCGGACCUGACAUGCCUAUACCUAUUACUUGGACUUUAUUUUUCGUUUUAAAAGAUUCAUUCCUUUUCAUUAGAUAAGACUUUCUUGCAUGUUGGCCUGGUUGCCUUAGUUAAAUAGAGAAAAAGGACAGAAGGGGCCAAAAAAAAAAAUAUUAUUAUUAUAUAUUUUUUUUUAACGAAGACAUGUUUUCAAGAAAGUGUUGGAAUCAUCAGAAAGGCAUCUCAAAUAUGUAAAGAAAUUUUUAUAGUUUUUGGACUAUUUUGUACUCAUAUAUUUCUGUGAAAGACCCUGCACCUAGACUUGCUUUUCGUUUUAAAAGAUUUAUUCCUUUUCAUUGGGUGAGACUUUGUUGCAAGUUGGCCUAGUUACCUUAUUUAAAGAGAGAAAUGGAACGGCAGGAGGCCCCAAAAAAAGGACUUUAAGUUAAACAGAAAUUUAUCACAAGCCUAAUUACUUUUUAUUUUCAACUAAUAGGAAAAAGAAAGAAAAAAGAACCGAUAGUUUGUUUUACAUAUCUUUUAGUGCACUUUCAUUUGUAAUAUGAAUUAUUUGGGGUGAUUGGAGACACUUUGACGGAUCUUAGGGCCCGAGAUUAGUAAAAUAAAAAAUAAAGAAUGCAACGUGAUAAAUUGAUAAUCUGUAUAAAGCAUGAAAACAGAAUUUUCUCCUUGAGCAAAGAUGGAGGGAUCGUGAAGAAGAGAAAUACGAUAUUCAAUUAUUCAACAAACAAACGGAGCAAGAAAGAAAAAGAUCAACAAAGUAGUUGAGACGAUGCUACAAUCAUCAGAAAUUCAUGUCGGCUUAGAAAAAGCAAAAACGUUUCUUAUAGACUACUUUUAAUUAUUUUUGGACUGUUUCAUACUCGCCAUGUAGCUGAGAAAUGGCAGUUCGGUAUUGUCCAUUAAGAGAAGAUUUAUUCCUUUUCAAUUUUCAUCUGGCAAGACUCUUUUGCAUAUUGGCCCAUAGUUACCUUAGUUAAAGACAGAAAAAGAAACAGGAGGGGCCAAAAAAAAAAAAAAGUUCUCUUGAAGGAGACAGGUUUUCGAGACGGUGCUGGAAUCAUCAAAAGUCAUCUCUAAGUAAAGAAAUUUUUAUAGGUAAAUUACACUUUACUUCCCUGUGGUAUAGUUAAUUUUUAUAUAAUCUCUCUCUAAUUUUUAAAACUAUAUAUAACCCUCUCAUAAUUUAGAUUAAAAUGUCAAAGUGACGGAAAUGAUUAUCCAUAAUGAAACUUAGAAAAAUGUCAAAAUUACUUUUGUUUAAAAACUAAAAUGGAUUAAGUGACCAAUAUAUGUAAACAUAAUAUGCAUGACACUCUAACUCCAUACGAUUUUAUAUUUUACAAUACAAGCCCCUUUUGGUUUAGUGUUUUACCAUAAAACCUCCUUAUAGUUUUUAAUAUAUAGAUAUACAUAAGUCUCUUGUAGUUAAUAAAUAAUUUUUAACUUUACAUAAGGGUAUUUUUAAUAUUUUCGUUGAUUCCGUUAUGGAUUACAAAAUCCUUCAUUUUGACACUUUAAUCCAAACUAUGAGGGGAUUAUGUAUAGUUUUUGAAACUAUAAGGGGGUUAUAUAAUAAAGUACUAAAUCAUAGGAGGUAAAGGGUAAAUUACCCAAUUUUUAUUGACUCAUAUUGCUGUAAAGGACCCUGCACGUAGACUCGUUUUUCGUUUUGAAAAAUUUAUUCCUUUCCAUUGGGUACGACUUUGUUGCAUGGUGGCCUAGUUACCUUAUUUAAAUUUGACUUUAAAUUAAACGUAAAUUUCCAACAUCACAAACUAACCUUUUCAUUUUCCAAAAAAAAAAAAAAAGAACUGAUGACUUAGUCAUCUACGUUUCCUUUAAUAUACUUAUAUGUUAUUGCUACAAACAUCAAUUACUAUAAACACCCAAUUCUGAUCAGUUAUGUUGGGGAUUUAUGUAUUAAAAAUUGUAAAUAACAUGAGCGAAUGCAUAUCCUUCAGUGCACUUUCAUUUGCAAUAUGAGUUGUUUGGGGUGAUUUGAGACGCUUUGACGGAUUUUUGGGUCCGAAGUUACUAAAAUAAAAAUAAGAUAAUGCAAAGUGAUAAUCUGUGUAAACUUAAAGGAUGAAAGCAGAAUUUAUAAUUAAUAGGAGUCUCUGCAAAGCUUCAGUUUCACAGGAACACCUUUAAUUAAUGUUGUUGCGGAUCAACUCGAGGUCAUGUAAGAAGACACAAUUGACUCAAGUGGAGGACAUCUCCAGCUCUUUUGCAGGGAUCUUCCUCAAUUUCACUCUCUUAAUUUAGUGCAGCUAAAGAAUAGCCAAACCUCGUCUUGUAGGGAGCUAGCAAGUUUUUGGCUCCGGAUUCUUCUUUUCUAUCAUUAUUAUUAUUAUUUGGAAAUUGAGGUAGAGAACUGAUAUAGUAUUCAAUUAUUCAACGCACAAACAGAGCCAGGAGAAAAGCACAAGAAAAUUGAGACUGUGUUUGAAAUUUUUGUUUUUGGCAUUAACAAUUUAAAAUUCAAUGGCUACUCGAUUUAAAAAGUAGAGAAAUACAUUAUGCACGUACUAAUUUAGAGAGUUACAGAUGGGGAACAAGUUGCUGAAAUUUGGGCCUCACCGCCGCACAAUUUUGAACCCCUUUUCCAACUCCCUUUUUUUUUUUUUUUGUUAUGCAUGUUUCCUUAUUUCAGGCCUGAUGUUGGCAAAAUAUCAUUCGAGUUUUAUUCAAUUAAAUUUUGUUCUUGGGUUUAGAAAGAGAAAAAUAAUUUACAAAUCAUAGCACUAAUUUUAUGGGUAAAUUACACUUUACUUCAUUGUAAUUUAAAGCUUUUCUACACAAACCUCUUAUGAUUUUAAAACUUAUAUAUAUAUAUAUAUAUAUAUAUAUAUAUGCACACACAUAUAUAGACACACACACAUAACCCUCUGAUAGAGCAAUUAUUGGGCAUAUUUUGCACUAUUAUUCUGUCCUAAUUUUGGCUACUCAUGAUGCUAAGAAUUGAGAAUUUGCUCAUAUUUCAUAUUUGUGUAAAUUGUAGGUGAUUGGUGUUAAAAGUGAUUUCGUGAGACAAAUUUUCAAAAAACUCUUUAUUUCAUAGUGUGCCCACGCCAGAGACCAAAGGGGUACACCUAAAGGAUGGACCCGCAGAAUUGGUAAAACAAGUGAAACAUCAGGAAACCAAAAAGAGCUCGUGGGCCACGGAGAUGCAUGGGAUUAAAACCCUUCUCAAAGGGGAAGUAGAAUAAAACCACUUGGGAUCCUCGGUGACAUGUUUUCUAUGCCAAUCCAAUGCCACCAAUAGUGUUGUGCCAAGUGUCAUGUUAUUAUUUACACUUUAAUUUUCUAAUAAUUCAACUUGGCUUGGUUUAACACAAGUGUAAAUAAUAACAUGACACUUGGCGCAACACUAUUGAUGGCAUUGAAUUGGCAUAGAAAACAUGUCACCGAGGAUCCCAAGUCAAAUAAAACGGCUCUUCCUCUCUUUUCGGCGAGUUGUACGUGAAUUGGCACAAAAGGCCAGAUUCACGUCUAAUGAGGAGAUUAGCUUUAGUUUCAAUUGGGGAAUCAGACGUUUCUUUUGGGCGGCGGCUUCAAAAGGCUAAAAAGCCAGAAUCACGUGCAAUCAAUUAGCUUAGCUUUAGUUUCCUUUUCUCAUUUUGUCAGACGUUGGAGACCUCUCUUUAGUUUUUGGCUUUGUACGAUUUUGACUCCUUGGUUUUUACUCUGGCUCUGUACAACUUUCGUUAGCUUUGGUUCUUGCGUUUGCGGCUCCAGUACGAAGACGAAACCCAAAAGAGACGCGAGACUUUCACCUGUCUCCUCGUUAUUCCUUCUUUUGCAACUUUUUGGUAAUUUAGUUGAAUGAUAUCAAUUGAAUCACAUGGGAUUGAUAUGAUGAGGAGCGGCUAAAUUUCUCCUCUACCUAAAGGUCAACGCAAGGACGCGGUCCAUAACAUCUGUGAGAUCUAAUCAAACUUUCAUUAUUUCUUCCAAUUUGUUACUAUUCGUGCGUUUCUCGGAUUAAUUGUUUAUGGUUAUUUUAUUAAUUGAAUAUCAACGGCCGGAUAUUUAAUUUAAUCUAAUAGCCUACUGUCACGUUAAUUAAAUUGAAUCCGUAAUUGUUAGUUUAGUUGACACCUAAUGACAACCACCGUAAUUGGAUUUAUGUUGGGGAAACGUAAGAUCUACUUUAAAUAAACCCUCUUAGCGUGUUUAUCGGUUAGGGUUGGGUUCUUCUAGCUUUCAUGCGACUGGAUAAUUAAAUUCCUACGGUCGUACCUAGGGUUGUUUUCUGGUUAGAGAAGCAGUCAAUGGUCGUACCUUGACUGUCGAAAAAGUAAGGAAGAACUGGUUGUCAGAACUUGUUGAUAGCUAUAACCAACCUAGUGACGGAUGAAUGAAAUAUCUUUGCAUCGAUGAUCAUUUAAUUGGAUCAUGCUUGAAAAGUUGAUCCUUUGGGUAGAAUUUUAUUAAUUGUUAUUUUUAGUAAAUUGUACUUGUGAAGUUAUCAUUUGAAUUUUACUUAUUUUAUUUUCAUUUUCAUCCCAUUAAUCAUCCCCCGAUUUUAUUCUAUUGACUUGGAGAGAAACAACUUCCUACCCGUUCCCUGUGGAAUCGAUCCUACUUGCCAUUGUACGGAAAUUUUAUAUUUUUAUAGACAAUUCUGGUAUAUCGGAUCAAGCAAACUCUUCGGGAACAUGGUGAAUCAAGUAACCCAUUGCACACCUAGGGUCCCUGCUCCAGUACUUGGAUUUGUUUUAUAAUUAAUUGUGGUGGUAAUUAGGACUUUUUAGUAAUUAUUAUUACACAGGUUCGACACCUGUCACCCUCUCAUAAUUUAAACUAAAGUGUCAAAAAAAAUGGUCCUAUGUAAUAGGACCAACUGAAAUGUAAUCUUCUAAGGCCAUAGUUAAGUAUGUAAUCAGGCCAAUUACAGAUGGGACAAGUUAUCUUGAACAAGCAUUGUUAAAAAAAAAAGGAUUAAAAAUUUUAGCCUUAGAUUCUAAAGCUGUGCUGUAAAUUAGUACUUUAAACUAUCCAAAUCAUACUAUAUGAUGGGUGUCAAAUCACCAAAAUUAAACUGAAAGACUAUGAAUUUUAAAAAAAAAAAGUGAUUGUUUUGGAUUCUAAACUUCUAACUUAUUGACUUUGAUAUGUAAAUUGUUCAAAACUCUCCACCACAAAGAGUAUCAACUUGGUUAAACAGCCAUCAUAUACCACGGUAAUUGCACGCAUGGAAUAUUACAAUCUUUUAGUAUAGCUUGAAAGACUAAGGAUUUAAAAUUCAAAUCUCUUCUUCAUUUUUUUAAAUUUAUUGUAUUAGUUUUCAAACAGAACAUCUUUCUCUUCACAAAGGAGACUAAUUGUUCUCUUGGUCUCUCUCCUUCCCAUGGCUUUAUUUCUUUUUUUUUUUUAAAUAAUAAGUCUAUUUUUGUUAGAGUUUUAACCUCUCGUAUAACUAUCUAGUGAGAAUUUUCUUCUCUAUUUAGAAUUCUUAGUGAGCGUAUUUUUUAUUUUAGUUUUGUUUUUCCUUUUGCUUUAAAUAGUGGAAUUAGAUGGAUCUAGGUAAUGACUUUAUAAAAUGUAUAUACCAAGCACAACAAAUAUAGACAAGCACCUGUUGUUUGUUUUGAUUGCAUCCUUUUCCUUUUCUUUUCUCGUUGUAGAUUGAUGAAUGCUUGAUCGUGUGCUUAAUUAAUAUACAAUUUAUGUCAAUUUUCCCUUUGAUUUAAUAUAUUAUUGUUUUACUUUGUGGAUUCUACUUAUGUUUUGUGUUUUGAUGGUGUCAUAGAAAUUUGGGAUGAGAAAGGGCUAAAAAGAGUUGCUGUGGAGGUUAUUUACUUUCAAGCAUGAGUGCGUGUUAAAAUACUUGUGAAAUUCAGAAGCUGUGGGACUCGAGAUUAAUUUCAGCAAUUAAAGUAGAUGAUCCACUGAUUCUCUACAACUUUGGAACAAGACCAAGAGUACUAUUUUCUUUGGGAACCACACAUUUGGAAGGAUAAUUAGUUAGGAUUUCUAUUCAAACUUUAUGUAGGAGAAUAAUUUAUUUCUGGAAGGUUUUAUUAGAGAAGAGAUAAUUCUUUUGUUAGGAGCAAUGUUUUUUUAGGAGAAAGAUGAUAUGUUCUCACCUCUUACUCUCAUUUAAAGAAGAGGAUUAGAGUAGUUAGUUUUUCUUUCCUCUUUUCCCAAGAUGAAAAAAGGUCGAUAUUCUUCUCUUUAGGUACGUUUUUCCACGAGGAGUGGUUAAUCCUAAUUUGGUAGUCAAAGGAAAAUUGAAGAAUUGGUUCUACGGCAAUUGUGAGAUCUAAUUUACUUUUAUAUUUCAUUUAUUUAUUUGUAUAUUUCCUAUAUUAUGCCUGGAAUAAUUACCGUGUGUGAUUGAAUAGGUGCACAAUAUUUAAUUAUUCACAAUAGUUUAUUGCCAAUUGAGACAAUUAAAUCUAUAAUUAUUUUACUGUUUUAAUAUUUGUGGCAACUGGCAUGAUUAAUUUUUUGUCAAGGAAGUAUACAAUCUAAUUUAAACGAAUCCUUGUAAUAUAUUUGUUGAUUAGAAUUGGACUUUUCUAAUCUAUAAUACUGUUAAAAGAUUAAAUUCUAUGAUCGUACUUAGAGUUGUCUUCUAAUUAGGAAAAUUGUUAACGGUCGACAAAAUAAAGAAAGGUUUGUCAUAAGAGUUUGUUAACAAUUAUAACCAAUUUAUUCAUGAAUAUUUGAAUUAUCUUUGUAUCAAGAAUUAAUUGCAUGAACCAUUUUUUAUAUUAUUUCUUUUGCUAGAGCUCUAUCAUUGUUAAUUUAAUUCUGGUUAAUUUUCGUAUGUUUAUUUUGUGUUUAAACUAAUAAGUUAGUUUAAUCUCCAAGAUCAGCCCUUUUAUUCAUUGUUUUGAAAGGAAAUAAACCAAUCCAAUCCCUGUAGAGACGAUUCUAAUUACCACUGCAUACAAACUCCUAUUUUUCAGAGUAGAUAUUUUAUUUUUGAUUGGCUCACAACCUGUCAAUGCCUUUCCUUGGUAACCUCAUUAACAUAGUUAUCCAUCAUUCUCAUCAAAAAAAGCUAGUGUAAACAAGGAAACAAGUAUACGAUUAUCAAUUUACUAGGCCAUAGCCAAGGGGUUAAUAUCCACUCCAUUGGAUUCCUCUCCAUUGUUCUCUCCUAUCUAAAAUUUUAUAGCUCUAUAAAUUAGUCUGGUUGUGUUAUUUUGCUUCUCAUCUCUUAGAUCAACAUAUUAAAAAUGGUAUUCUUUUGCAUAUACUUUGGCAUUCAAUUUACAGUAAACAUUUGAAUGGUGAAAAAUGAGUCAAAAUUAUAACAAAAUGUGUAAUGAUUAAUUAGCAAGCAAAACUUAAUUAAAUUUAUACAAAAUUUUGUGUGUAACUAAUACGAGUGAUGAAAUACAUCAUCGAUGCAGUGGAAAGGAACUUAGUCCCAUAGCCAAGUAUGUAAUGAAGCUAACUAUGGAUGUAACAAGUUACCUUGAAAAAAAUUACAUUAUAUGCUUUACCUUCUAAAGUUAGAGUGUGAAGUAGACUCAAGGUGAUCCUUGUAGAAUAAUUGGGAAUACUGAGAUGCUAUGUUUUCUGCUGCAAAUUUAGAGGAAAUAAAAUCUGCUAUUACACCGAAAGAUUAUAUUUUUUUUUUAGAAAAAAUCAUUUUGGAUUCUGAACUUCUAAUUUAUUGACUUGGAUAAGUACAUUAUUCAAAACUCUCCACCACUAAAAGUAUCAACUUAGUUAAACUAUCAUCAUAUAGAACAGUAAUUGCACGGUUGGAAUAUUACCAUCUAUUAGUAUAGUUUGAGAAACAGAGGCUUUUAAAAUUAUUCAAAUCUCUUUUUUUUUUCUUUUGAUUCUAUGUUAAUUUGCCCAAAAUUCAUUGUAUUAGUUGUCUAGGUUCACUUGACAUAGCCUAUAACUAGAGGAAUCGACUUAUCGUACAAUUAUAAAGUUUAUACACGUUUUCUCCAAAAUUUAGAUAUUUUAUCUCCCGCUCUUUAUAUCAUCUGAAACGUAUUGGGUGGAAUUCAAGAAUGGAAGAUUAAAUAUCCAUACAAUCACAUCUCCUUUAAAGCUCUUUGGAGAAUCAAUUAUUUUACUAACGUCCUUUCCAGCAAUUAGCUCAAGCAGCAGGAAAAACCAAGUUGCAGAAGGAACCUAAGUCCCAUACUUCAUUCUUUGCCAAAAUUCUUCAACUUGAAGAAGUAAAAUAUGAUUCUGAAAAUUUAGAAAAUUUCGAAGUUAACAUUGAGCAUACAUCUUCAACCAAUUCUAUGGUGGAGUACUACUCUAUCCUGAUGAAGCCAAUUGCAACUUUUACCUUAAGCCUGUUUGAUUUUGGCAUGAAUUUGUAGAUCAAAAGUAUGUUGUUAAUUCCCAAAUUGGGCUGUCUUAUUCUUCCAAGAAUCAUGAGUUCAAAUAUAAAUUGCUAAUCAAUUCUGUCAAAAUGAUGGAAUUUCAACCUCAAAUAGAAAAAAAAAAAUGAAAAAAGAUAACAGAGUUUCUUGAGAGCAAAAAGCCAAUCGUUUUGCAGUAGUAUCUUCGUACACUGUUCCUAUUUUCCAAGUCCCAACUCAGCAAAUUCACACAUGUUUGAAAAGAAAUAAUACACAACCAUUACUAAAUUCAGCAAAACGAAAUUACACAAAAUACGCCAACAGCAAAUUAUCUGAAUAGCAUUUAUGCUGACAUGCAGAUUGACACCUCAUUCGUUGUUUCCGCAAGAAAAGAGCCACCAAUCCUCUGAACUUUUAGCUCAAUCUUCCACAAAAGCACCGAAGAAAGCCACAGACCCCAUAGAUAACAAAUUACAAUCUCAACAGGAAAAAUUACUGUAGCAGUCCCUCCCUGGUGAUAUCAUCAACAAAAAUUAGAGCAAUAACAAUUAGUUGUUCGUUCAUCAAUAUCAUUAAAAAAAAAAUGAAAAAAAGAGUAACAAUUAGUUGUUUUUUCAUCGAUUUCAGUGUUUUCGUGCAUGCAUUACAGGCAACUAAAGUAAAAAAAAGCUACCAAAAGGCAUAUAUAAAUUAAACUUUUUUAAAAGAAAAAACAUGAUUAUUUCUACAAGCCAAUUGAUGGUGAUGACAAAAAAAAAAAUUUACCAGAUAUUGCACCAGCUGAUGCCCUUCAAUCUAUGAUGAUGAUCUUCAGAUUCUCAUUUCCAUAAUUUUUCUGUGCUUCUUCAAUUUCCCGUACUAAAGAUUCGACACCAUUUCCACAUAAACUCACCUGAAUUGUUUCAAGAGUAGAUAUACGCCCUAAACAAGAAGGCAUCAUUUCCAAUUUAGAAAUUCCGCGGAGUUUUAAUUGCUGAAGACACGGGAAGUAAUCAUCACUGUCAGGGUCUGCCUCCUUCCACUCCACAACCUUUACAAAUUCCAAAGUCAAGACCCUGAGUUUAGGAAAUCCUCCCUCCAUCAGCUCCCAUUUUUGGCCGUCCGUUGCCUGAUCACUUAAUUUAAGGACUUCAAGAUUGGGUAGUUGUUCAAUCAGUGACAUCUUUCUACGGGGAAGACUCACACGGGAAAGACACAACUUUUUCAAAUUCAUGGGAAAGGAAAGCUCAACAUGUUCCCGCGAACCUGGGAAAACGUAGCUCCUUAAGGUGAGUGACUCUAGGCAUUCUAGUCGACUCAUGUUGCAGCAUACUGUAUUUGGUCGCCCCAAAUCGAAAAUUUUAAGUCGGUGAACGUUGGGAAUCCUUCUCAAUAGGUUCUCUCCCUCUUUAUCAAGAUCAAGAUGCAGAGUAGAGAGUGUGUCUAAAUUGGGUAAAGUAGAGAGGUUUUCAACAACGUUGUCGUUGGAAGAUAGACGAAUAACAACGCCACUCCUUGCAUGUACAUGCCUCAACUUCUUCAUGUUCCAGAUGCUAUCUGGCAACGAAACCAUCCGAUGAGAAUACAGACAAAAGGUUUCCAAAUGUGAGAGCUUGGCUAUAGAUGGUGGAAUGAAUUCCAUGCGCUCUGCUCUAAGGGAUAAGUACCUCAAACAAAGAAGUGAUUCGACUUCAGCUGGAAGCUCCUUCAGCAUUAGGUUAAUGCCCUCUAAAUUCAAAACUUUAAGUUGUUUGUAGAUGCAAAAAAGGAAGGAGAUGUUACGCAACUCAAACUUAAUAUAUCCUGGAAUAGCAUCAAAGAAUAGCAGAGUACCUAAACAUGGACAAAAUAGCUUUGACUUUAUAAAAUCUUCUCCACUGGAGCAAAUGGACAACCGAGGUAGAUUGGGAGGCUCAAUAAAGGUAGAAAGCUCAUCAUAUCCUCGCAGGACCUGAAGAAAUUUCUUUUCUUUCGCCUCGCCCUUACAGAACUCAAAUAUCAAAUCGUGAAUGUAACAAGUUUUGACUCCACCAAUGGA
rnacentral:lncRNA from 1 species